rnacentral:lncRNA from 1 species
GAUGAGUUGCAGAAGCCUGGCAGAGAAAGACCCCAGCCAGUCACCACAGAUGGAACUUCAAAUACCAGCGUCACUGAUGAGCUUCACUGGCCUUCACUUGGUGAGUAAAUUGCCCACUUUUUCUCUUACUUUGGUUUUCUGAAUCUCUCAAUCUCUCUCAUCCCACAAUGCCUAGAGAUUCCACCCAGUCCUACCUACUCUUUGUCUGUUGCUUACAGUUACCAAUUUUUUUUUUUAACUAUCUUACUGGAAAAAGUGAAUUUUUUUGACCUUAGUCUCAUCUCUUCUUUCAAUGAUGAGAAUAAAUGGUAAGAAUUUUAUUUCUUACCAAUUCUUGAAUUUUUCCCAUUAAAAAAAAAUAUAUGGAAGGGGAGAUUGUAAAUAUGAUCAUUGAAAAUGAGGACAUGAGAUUAGUUUCUUCUUUUCUUCCUCUAAGGAGGCAAUAGCUACAUCUUCCCUCUCCUGAUACAAGCAUGACUUGUUGCCCAAAUUUGUCCAUUUUCUCCCUACUGAUUAAAACUUGGCAUUGUUACCUCUAUUUCUGAUCAUCAAGAAGUAGUUUUUUGGGCUGAGGUUGUGGCUCAGCAGUAGAGUGCUUGUCUAGCAUGUGUGAGGCCCUGGGUUCGAUCCUCAGCACCACAUAAUGAUAAAUAAAGGUACUGUGUCCAUCUACAACUAAAAAAUAUUAAAAAAAAAGAAGUAGUUUUUCCUGGAUGGGUUUGUAGCUCAGUGGUGGAUAGCUUGCCUCGCAUGUGGGAGGCGCUGGGUUCGAUGCUCAGCACCACAUAAAAAUAAAUAAAUAAAAUAAAGACAUUGGGUUCAUCUACAACUAAAAAAAUAUUUCUAUAAAAGUAGUUUUUCCCAAUUCUAUAUACGUAAGUGCCAUGGGACAGAAAGCCAAGGGCCAAAGUGAGUAGAAGGGUGAGAAAAGAGAACAGAGUCCAGGGAGCUGAGUUCAAGCCCUGAUGGUGCUACUAGUUUGCUGAUGUGGUCAGCCCUGGACACUCAGGACUCCUUGUCCUCACGUGUGAAAUGAGGGACUCAAAAUGAAGCAUCUGGGGUUAUUUCCAUUAAUAUUGCAUAGUUGUCUUGUCUAAUAGGGCCUUCCUUGUAGAGUAUAGGUUUCAAACUAAAUUAAAUGUGUGUGUAUGUGUGUGUCUGUGUGUGUGUGUGUGUGUGUGUGUGUGUGUGUUUACCAUGGUGCUUCUUAGAGAGUAAGGGAGCACAAUUAUAGCAAAACUCUGUGAUACAGCUACUUAGAUAUGUUCCCCUCUCCAAAUAAAACUCUUUUUCUCAAAUAAAACUCUUUUUCUCAAAUAAAGUUCAUUGGUAGAAUGCUUACUUAGCAUGCACAAGGUCCUAGGUUUGAUCCCCAGCACAGCAAAAAAUUAAAAAUAAAAUAAUUUUCUUCUAUGGGACAGAAUGGGAAGGACUUGGGUGGGAAGAAGAGUUCUCAGGAAAGUUCCUGAGAGGGUAGGUCCCCCAACCCUAGUAUUCUUCUAGCUCGAUUGCCUUGGAUCACAUUAAUAAAAGUUUGCAACUGAGCAACAGAGUCUUCAACCACUGCCACCUGUCCGGGGAGUUGCAAUCAGCUACAGGGCCUGGAAUCAUCCCCACCAGUAUGUAAGGCACAGUGAACCGCUCUCAACAGGCCACAGCAAACCGGAGUGGGAACAAGGCAGGGGAUUUUGAUUAUGCAGUUAAACCUUGGAACCCAGCUGGUUGUGCGGUCCCCCUCUAGUCACUAGGUUCAUGAUAACACCACUUUGUAUCUUACAAGUGGCAAGUUUUAGACCCCAUCAUAUAUAGUUUAUUUCUAGGUGAAAUAUAUAUAUUCACAGAGAAAGUUGUUACAUUUUCCCAAAUAUAUGGCUGCAAAUGUGGACAUCCUCUUUCUUAUUGCUCUCAUAACUGGUUUUACAGAUACAGAAUUCAAGACUCUUUUGGUUCCAAGUUAUAGAAGUCUAACUCAAAUUGGCUCAACCUCAAAGGGAAUUUAUUGGCUCAAAUAUUGUCAGGCACCACUGCAUCCAGAAACUGAGAGAGAGAGAGAGAGAGAGAGAGAGAGAGAGAGAGAGAGCGAGCGAAAGAAAAGGCCAGUAUGGCUUACUCUUUUUCUCGUCUUUCCCCGUACCCUUUUGCUCUUCUCUAUUGAUUAAAGUCCAGACAAGCUCUUGCCUCAGUGGCCCUGUGUAAAUUCAGACCUAUAUUCUCCCUCACAUCUAGGACAUGUAAAACCUUUCUUUCAAAAACUGUGCUUAUAAUCCUAGUGGCUUGGAGGCUGAGGCAGGAGGAUCUCAAGGUGAAAGCCAGCCUUAGCAACUUAGUGAGGCCCUAAGCAACUUACAGAGACGCUAUCUCAAAAUAAAAGAUAAAAGAACUGGGGAUGUGGCUUUGUAGUUAAGUGCCCCUGGGUUCAAUCCCUGGUAUCAUAAAAAAAAAAAAAAAAAGAUUGUGACUCAUGAGACUGGGUAGGGCUACCACCCAGCUCUCCAGUCAGUUCAUCUAAUCUGCACUACCCAUCUCCUGUGCUGGGGUCCAUCCCACCUGAACCAAACGGUCAAAUGGUUUAAGUAGAGGUUAGUUGGUAUUCUCAAAGGACAGAGGAUUGUUUUACCCUGGUUUACUGUGCAAGAGGGAAUAAUGCCAGGCAGGCCAAAUUCACUCAGGGCCACCACAGAUCUCUUUACUAGAAUCCAGAGCUUCAAAAAAAAAAAAAAAAAAAAGGCUUUAUAUAUUGUUCAGCAUGUAUUUAGAAUAAAUCCUAAUUUCUAGUUUGAAAGUGUGAUAGAAUUUAAAGUGAUAAUUACAAACAUGGAACAGGUUAAUGGCAUAAGAAUAAGUUGUAAAAUGUAGAAUAAGAAUUUUAUGUUCACACGGUUGCAAUUACAGAGAUGAGAUAUGAAAAUAGUUUUUUUUUAGUCCAGAUUAGAGUUUAUGCAUACUUUCCAUUUUAAAAACAUGUCUAACUUAUCCAUAUGGUAGGAAAAAAAAAAAGAAGAGAAAGCUCAUGAAUGAAGCUCAGUGAAUGAAGGUUGACCUCAUUAGAUAGGAAUAGGUGUGUGCGCAGCUCGUCCUGACAUUGUGACAACCGCUCUGAGAGUCCUGUGUCCUUCAUAACAUAGCGCCCGGGUCAAAUGUCCCAGUUUCUCUGUAGCUCAAGACUGGUCCCACAUUUCACUGACUUUAGACAUCACCAAGAUAUUACACUUUUAUUAAAUCUUACUAGAAAUUUGUCCUUCAUAUUAUCGAACCUUGAUAUUCCUCUUUUAAAUUCUGCUUUCUCUGAUAGCAUGGGAAAAAGUUACCCAAUCCUUUCCUUCUCUCCCUGCUCCAAAGUUGCACUGCCCACUUAUGAGUCCUGUAUUAGGAGUUGUCAGGGGAUAGUAACACAGGAUCAGGAUGGUACUUUGUCGCUGCUGUUUUGUUCCCAGGCUCCCUAUGUUUGCCCAAUCUGCCAUCUUAAUUUACCAAUUGUGCUGGAAAGUCAACCUAUUAAGAUUGUUUUGAUCAUUUGAUUACUUAUGUUUUUUAAAUGGUAUAUUUAUUUAUUCAUUUCCCAUGUUUUUAUUGUGCUUUAUAGUUGUACAUAAUGGUGGUUUUCAUUGUUAUGUAUUCAUUUGGGCACACAGUAAACAACAUGAUUUGGUCCAUAUCAUUCCUCAGUAUUUCCCCUUUCUCUUCCCUCUUCCCUCCCCCUGAUCCCUUUACUCUACUCUCCUGAUCUCCCUUUAAUUUUCAUGAGAUCCCACCAACAACUUUCUUUUCCUUUUUCCUUUCUGGCUUCCACAUAUGAGAAAACAUAUCACCCUCGACUUUCUGAGUUUGACUUAUUUCGCUUAACAUGAUUGUCUCAAGUUCCAUCCAUUUUUUCUAAAAUGACAUAUUUUCAUUCUUCUUUAUGAUUGAAUAAAACUCUUUUGAGUAUAUAUACCACAUUUUCUUUAUCCAUUCGUCCUUUGACAGACACAUAGGCUAGUUCCAUAGUUUGGCUAUUAUGAAUGAUGCUGCUGUAAACAUGGGUAAGCAAGUACUGUUAUAGGAUGCUGACUUUAGUUCUUUAGGAUAAAUUUGGAUACUUCUUUUUAUUUAGGGUUCCUGAUAUUACCUAUUUUAAAGAAAAAAAGAAGACAAGUGAACUUGUUUAUGAAAAAGCUAUUUCUAUAUUUAAAAAUUAAGUUGUUAAGAUAUUUCUAUUUUCAAGCUAGUUUUAUGGUGUAAGACACCUUUUUUCUUUCUGUCGUGUCUUUAUGAUAGAGAGGAAGGAGAGUCUAUUGUCAUUUGUAGAAGUUCUUAAAUUUUUUAUUACUUAUUAUCUCUAUAUUAUCGUCUUCAUAUUGAAUCUUAGUCAAUAUUCUUUUUUUUUUUUUUGUACCAGGGAUUGAAACCAGGGGUGCUUAACCACUGAGCCACAUCCUCAGCCCUUUUUAUAUUUUAAUUUGAGACAGGGUCUCGCUAAAUUACUUCAGGCCUCACCAAGUUGCUGAAUCUGGCUUUGAACUCAUGAUCCUCCUGUCUUGGCCCCCAGAGUCGCUGUGAUUACAGACGUGUGCUGCUAUGCCUGGCUCUUAGUCAAUAUUCUUUAUCUGUAGUAACUCUUGUGAAUGCUUCUUCAUCCUCAUCUACACUUGAAAUUCCUUGCCAGUGUGGAAAUGAUGAAGGCACUUUGGUAGUUUUUUUAAACUGGACUCCAUCACUUGGCCAGAUGUCUGACUGUGGCCUAGUUGCUUAUCAGUCUGAGUUUUAGUCUUCUCAGAUCUAAAAUGGGGAUGAUUGUGUCUACUUUUUAAGGUUGUUGAGAAUUUCGAAUGAAAAACAUUAGAUUGGUCAUAAGGAAUUGCCUGUAUUUGACUGACAGAUGGUAAUUUCAUGUGCUUUAAUCUAAUAUUUAUAAAAUCUAUACAUUGUGCCAUAUGUGGUGGCUCCAUAAAGAGUAUUUGAUAUAGUGAUAGUGAGAGGGGUCAGGUACAGUUGAGUGAAGUAAGAGGUUCGCUUCACAAUUCUAGUAUACAGAGCCUCUAUGUGGUUCAAUCCACAUUCAAUGGGAGACAGUUCACCUUGGUUCUGGGCCAGGUUGAAGCAACAUUUGGGGAUCAGCAGCUCUGAGUGAAUAGGAAGAGGCAGUGGGAUUGUAUAAAGAGAGAGGAUGCACUUAAUCUUGGAUGGAAAACUUGAAUGGUAGAUGAGAGCCUCUGAUCCUUAUCAUACCUAGAGCUAUAGAGUUCUCCAAACCUUUCUUGCCUGGGCAACAUCAAGAUUUUAGGGAUUGUGUAUGUGCAUUUACACUGAAGGAAUCACAGUGUGAGGAGAAAACUUACAGUUCUUAUACUGCACAGAUUAAUUAGAUUGAAUUGAAACCAAAGUAUCAGUGAAUUACAAUUAGUAACUGUAUGAUCAGAGAGAACAAUUGCGCUUCGGUGUUGAGCAAUUGCAGAUAGAAAGCUUGAGUCUUCUUCAAGGUUAUCUUGUCAGCAUCAAAAUAAAAGCGACUUGAACUGAUAUACAGAAGGGAACUGUACCAUAAAAGGAAGUAAAAGCAGAACAUAGAAAAAGGGGACCAGAUCCAAGGACAAAAUAGAACCUAAGCCUCUGCUGGCUAAUGCUUCACUAGUUUCCAGGAAUGGAAGGUUGUUCAUUGACUUGAAACCCAUGGUGUAAUAAUGCUUGAGUUAACGCGAAGUAAUAUAGACAUUUAAAAUUAACUGGUAGGUAAGCUCUUUGCAGGCUUUGUUUUAAAUGACUUUAUAGAUUUUCUCUAGGGUUCUGUUUUGAAGUAAGUAGAUUCAGCAGGUAACCUCAAUUUACAUUUACUGUUAAUAUCCUGUUAUAUGCCCAACCUACACUCUUCUUCUGCCUCUUUAAAGGACUUCUCAAUUCAUUGAUGAGUUUCAAUGGUUGAUGAGUUUCAAUGAUUCAAAGUCAAGCGUUCUAACAUUGAUUGAGUAAAACUAUAUGAAUAGCAAGCUGAUAUCUUAGUGGCAGAGAUGCAUCUGGAUGUAGACUCAUGGAACACAAGAGGGAAACGUGUAUUGGACAUUGAUGGGGACCACAGGAUCCCCCAGGUAAUGGAAACUAAAAGGUUCCCUUUCCCUCCCACCCCGCUUUCUCCUUAAAGUCUUCUUGAAGAAAGAUUUUGAAUAUGAGAAAAGCAGGACCCAGGGAAAGAUAUCCUCUCUCCCCCUCUCUUCUUUGAUUUGCAUUCUGUUAUUAUAUAGAAUUAAAACAACUUUUCUGCCAAUACCUCCUUUGACUCAUACCACAACCCAAAAGGUAGAGGGUGAGAAUGGUUAAUUCUACGAGACAGAUGAAAGUUUCAGCCUCCAAAAAAAUCUAGCAAUUUUACCUAGGUUGAGAGCUUAGUCUGUGACUUGGGUCUUCCAUUCCCCAAUAUAUUUCAGUUUCCGCUAAGGCAUUUUAUUCUUGUGCAUUAUUUGACAUUGAAGUACUCUUUUUGUUGCUUUGUGCUAUUAAUGUCUAUUAAAGGGAAAAUUGGAAUCUGGGCAGUGGAGCAGUAUAGGAUUAGAAAUCAAACAAUAUAUGUCUAAUUAAUUCAAUGAAUACUUGAUUAAUAUUUGGCAGUUGCAUUUUCAUUACAAUAUAAUUAAUUAGAAUUUCUAGAUAAACAACUUCACGCAGUUGCUGUGAGAAUUAAAUGUGAUAAUGUAUGUGGAAGUAUCUACCACAGUGGCUGGCAAUUAGAAGGGACUCAAUUAGUUGAAUAUGAAUCUUAUCAAGACUAAUUUCAGGAGGAUUUCUUUGGGAGGAAACUUUACUUUUUGGUAGAGAACCAAAAUUGGAGAAGUACCAUGUAAUUCUAUCAUGAGUUAAUAACCAACUUCAGGAAAGCAAGCCUCAGGAUUUCAGUUUGAAGUCUCUACUUUCAUAUUUCACUGUUUUCUCAAAAUCAGCAUCUCCCACAUGGAGAUGCUAUUCCUCUCAUACAAUUUUAUUUUUCUUGCUCCUUCCUUUGCUAUGAUAACGUUUCCCUAUAUUUUUGUGAUAAUCUAAACCAGUCCUAAAGAUCAAGUAGUAGGUGAAUAGGUAUUUAUUGAAAUAAAUUGAAGUGGACUUAAUUCUAAUAGGGUUUUAUUUAGGGGUAUUUAUUUGGGGUACAUUUUCACAAAGCUGUCAUCAUGUGGUGGCAAACAUAGAAAAGCCACCUAAUUGGUUGAUGACCAAUUUUUUUAUUUUAUAUUUUUUAUUUUAAUAAAAAAAUUGCUCUCUAUAUAAUUUGCAUGUAAUUUAAUUUAUGACUUUACUCCUUUCUUAAUUUUUUUACACUUUCCCAGGGCUUUUUGUCUUCCUAAAAUUUUUUUUUAUUUGAUCUUUUUUAGUUAUACUCCAUGUAUACAUUCUACUGUCACUAUAUACAUGGAGUAUAACUUCCCAUUUUUGUGGUUGUACAUGAUGUGGAGUUACACUAGUUAUGUAUUCAUAUAUGAACAUAGGAAAGUUAUGUCUAAUUCAUUCUACUAAGGGCUUUUUCUUUUCUUUCUUUCUUUUUCUAUUUUUAGUUGAACUACAUUCUGAAAAACGCCAAUGCUUUAAAAAUGGUGUGGUUUUAUAGUUGUGGAAGGAAUUAUACAAUUUUUGGAGAAUAAUUUUAAAUAAAUGUAUUUUGGGCUUAAAAUUUUUAAAAAAGCGUGUCACUCUUCCUUGGUGUCUUAAAAGUGGGAGCACAGCAAAAAAAAAAAAAAAAUACUCCAAACUCCCGUGAAAUUGGAAGCCAAAUCUUUGGUUAAACUGGGUAGAAACCUUACUCUGGUGUGAUUUUUGGUGGAAUUUCUGUCAUUGGUCUUUUUCAUGAAUAUUUAUUUAAAUCCCAAUGGAAAUCAUUGCUCAUCUGAAAGGGAGUUAACAAUCCUUAAUAGCCUCUUCUGAUUUGAUUGAUGUUUUUGUCACUUUCUUGAAGUAAAUAGGUUCCAUUAGCAUACCAAAUAUGCUAUCUGUCCUUUUACCUCUACAGGCACUUAACUGACCACUCACUUAAGAUUUAAAUAUCCCACCUAGGGUUUUGUUGUCAGUUCAGGGUCAAUCUUUCCAGAGAGGAAAAGGAAAGAGCUUUAGCUGUUUAGCUGGUGAGAAGUUCCUAAUCAGAGGAAAAUCUUUUUUUUUUUUUUGGUAAUAAAAUCUUCUCCAUUGAGGUUAAUUAUUUAUUCUGUCCCCACAGGGUGUAAAGUGCCAAUGUGGUUAAUUUUAUUGAAAUCAGUGUAUACUGAGCACAAAGAAAAAAAUAUUUGGAAUUAUUGGGAAGUGGUAAUUUCUCAAGAAAAAAAAUCUUGAAUCAAAGAGAUAAAAAUAAUUAUUGAAACAAAGUCAUGCAUAUGGAAAUCAAUAAGUCUGGGUAAAAGACCUAGUCAUACAUUUUCUUCUGCUGUGUGGAAGAAUCCCAGAGAGACAUGUAUGCAACUGUGGUUAUGUUUUCAGUGUGCUAGAAUUCAUUGUUAACUAAAGGGUGUGCAGUAGAUGAGAUCACUCUAGGGACAAUUUCUGUUCUUCCAAGGAACCAGGGUUUCAUUCAGAUGUGUUCAGGAUCAGAAAGAAAUCAAAAGAGUUCCACACCCUUAAUUUAAUAUAUUUAUUUUUCUUAUAAGUUCCUUUUUGAUUAUAUUUCAUGGAGAAUCUGGGCACUGUCUACUUGCUAUGAGCACAUUUUUAUGAUUACAGUUCAUGGUAUAGCGAUUGGGAAGGAAAUGUGAAGAAGUAUGAGGAGAGAUCAAUGGUAAAGCAGAUGUGCCCACAAGGUGCUAGUAGUUCUAGAACAGAGAUUCUAAGAGUUGCUCUUGCUAAAUGUACUGACUCUGCAUUCGAGCCUGAAAAUGCCUAAUGGGUAACUGAAAGCAAAAUAAAGCUUACCAUCUCUGUCUUCAUUUUGUGUCCAUCUCCUUUAUUACCUUAAAACUUGGGUCAAACUUUUGCUAACUCUGCACAUAGGCAUGUUAAUCACUGAAGGAGUGUAAUACAAGGCUUGUAUUUGCUAAAUUUACCUAAAUGUAUAUGCUACCUUCAAAACUGAGGGCACCAAGAUAAGAGUAACUUAGGGAUAUUCAACUGCCAGCUUUUGCAACAUUCUGUUCCAGACCCCUGGAGGGGUGCUUGGAGGUCUUCUGUGAUUGACUUACAAUUUCCAGGAAUAGUGGAGAUGAUCCUAUCAUGACACUGUCCCCUGGACAGGAGCAAUCAUCUCGUGGGGUCCAAAUAACCCCCUUCCAGGAUCACAAGUUGGAUAAACAAACACCCUGAGCAACAAAUGGAGAUUGACAGACCCCCCUCCCCCAUCACCAGUUAUCAGAAGUUCUCCAGAGCCAUCUGGAAGAACCAAAAGCGAAACCACAGUUUGACAGCAAUUGUUUAAUUAAUUAUGCAUACAUCUUGCCCUGAGUCCAAUUCUUCCUCUAUUUAAACCUAAAGAUCCUGAUAGGGCACAGAAGACAGGGUUGAGACAUUUGAUCUUCCUUUGCCUUUGCCAAUAAGGCCAUUAUUUUUUUUAAUUUUUUUUUUUUUUUUAGUUUUAGGUGGACACAAUACCUUCACUUUAUUUAUUUUACCCAUGUGGUACUGAGGAUCAAAUCCAGUGCCUCACACAUGCUAGGCAAGUGCUCUACCACUGAGCUGUAACCCCAGCCCCCAAUAGGGCCAUAUUGACUAAAAUUCCUUUCCAGUUUUUCACCAUUACCUUUUGCCCCCCGCCCCCCCCCCCAAGUUGGGCCUCUAGGACUCACUUAUCCAUAGUCUUUUGAUACAUUUUAAUUUUUAAUGCUUUUGCAUGUUGAGAAAGAAGGCUAGGUUCAUUUAUUUGAACAAUUAUUUCUGAAAAUAUUCCUUCACGACACAAAACCCUUAAAAUGCAUCAAGGCAAUUGACUUGAAUAAUUUUUAACAAUAGAACUCCAGAAUGACAUAUAGAACCACAUAUCUUAAGUUAGAAGCCUUUUUCACUUCUGAUAUUAUCUGAGUCUGUUUCCAUUUUUAGGAAAAAAGAAAAAAAGUUAUUGACGUGCAUGAAAACAUUUUAUAAAUGAUAAAUUACCAAUGAAAUGAAAACUAUUUUUAAAACUUUUUAUUUUGAAACAAUAAUAGUCUCACAUUUGCAGAAAAGUUGCAUAAACUAGUAUAAAAAUUCUCAUAUGCUCUCCUCCAUAUUCCCUAAAUGUUAACAUUUUACUACAUUUGCUUAAUCAUUCCCUCUUUCCUGCCCUUCUCUGUGUCUCUGUCUCUUAGUCUCUGUGUCUAUUGUAUUUGGAACUAUAAGUCAAUAAAUUGUAUGCAUAAUACCUCUUUAUUUUUAAAUACUUCAUUAUGCAUUUCUUGAAAAAAACAUAUUAUAUAUAUAAUCACAGUAUACUACAAUAAGAAUAGUCUGAUAUUAGAUAUGGUAUAUUUUACAUAGUCAAGAUAGUGCCAUUAUUUAAUUUGCAGACCUUACCAAAAUUUCACCAAUUGCUUUCCUGGUGCCUGAAAUUCAGGGUUAUCAAAUGGUCAGCAAUUUGAGAAAUGUACAUUAAAAUACAUGAGGAUCCUAGGGGUAAGAGAAAAUAGAAAGGAAAAAUAAUAAAAGAAAGCAUGGUAGUUUUUCUUCCUGAAUAAAGGCCACUUUUGUUUAAAAAUGCCUUCUGAAAAUAUUUUCUUUAGCUUUGCAGAGAAUCUUAACACUGGCAUUAGAUUCAGAUUUAUUUUUUUGAAACGUGGGUCAAUAUUAUUAUUUUUCCCAUGAUAGUAAAUAACAUAACAGAGAAUAUAUUAAUUAUGGUAGAAAAAAAUAUGAAAGGAAAAACAUGAAAUAAUUUUGAGCAUAUAUGCAUUUCUACCAGGUGAUAUAUACUUUGGGAAAUAUAAUAUUCCAGUUCAAUCCAUUUUUGCAAAGGCCAAGAAGAAAAAUAUGAUGCCAAAAUGAAGACUGAAGUGAAACAAAACAAAAAUUCAACUAACUUACUUUAUUAAUGUGGUUGAUUAUUUUAGAGUCAUUAUAAGAGUUGACAAGUGUUAUAUGGAAAUGGAUUUCUUUAUCAAACUUGGCAGCUUUAUGAUGAUCUUUAAGACAUGAAGAAUAUUUGUGCCUGACCAAGUGUCUAUAGGGGCAAUGGUAUAUAGUAAAUCACACACAUGGACAGUAUGCUAAAUAAGUAAAAAGGAAAUACCAGGUACAAUCUAAGCCUAGAACACUGUGUUAGACUUUAGGGACCUCAGAACCAAUAAUUUGAAGAAAAAUUGGAAUGAGGCCAGGAGAAAGCAAUUGCAAUGAUUAAGAGAAGAAAAGGAUUAAUUUAUAAGUAAAGCUUUAAGUAGAUAAAUAUAUAGCUAGGGAAGUAAUGACUAUGGACUAUAUUAUAAGAUUCUACAAAUAUUUGAAAGUUAAAAAGGUGGUAGAGGAAUUAUUUAAAAUGAUAUAAAAGAGUAAGUCACCAGGAGUAAUUUAAGCAGAAGAACUCUUUGACAUUGAGAAUCAUUAGUUUUUUUGAAAACUCUUCUUAUAGGAAGUUGAAAGUACUGAUUCUUUCUGAAGAUUUGAAACUAUAAAGAAAAUGAUUCUUGAUUAUGACUAGUUGUUUUCUGGCAGGUGGAAAGAUUGAUCAAGUUAUUUGACUCUUCAUUCUUUUCCAUGAACAAAAAAGCCAAAGAUAUUAAAUCUAAGAUUGGUUAAUAUCGUGUCUUCCAAUUACUCAAAAGCUCAUAUUAAUUGCUUGUGCUCUAAUAAUAUUUUCUACAGCAUACUAAGCUCUGUAUACUAUAAUGAUUUCAGCAGUUUCUUAUCUUUUAUUUUGGGCAGAAUAAUUGGCUUGAGGCUUUAUAUUUUCAUCCCAACCAAGCCUAUCAAUAUUGGGAACUCCAAACAGAGUCUACCAAUAUUGGGAACCCAUUAUCAUCUCAAUAUAUACUUUAUUAAGUAGAAAGUUACAUUUACUUUGCAAGCAGAUUCUUUUCAUUUGUUCCAGAAAAUAUUUGUGGUGUUUAUUUGUCCCACUUCUGUUUUGAAAGAUUAAAAAAAAAGUUGUAUAAAAAGACUUCCAGGGCUGGGGAUGUGGCUCAAGUGGUAGCCCGCUUGCCUGGCAUGCGUGCGGCACGGGUUAGAUAUUCGGCACCACAAACAAAGAUGUUGUGUCCGCCUAAAACUGAAAAAUAAAUAUUAAAAUUCUCUCUCUCUCUCUAUAUAUAUAUAUAAAAAAAGACUUCCAUUUCCCCAUGAUCCUCACCAAUUGGUUUACAGAUUAUAAAAAGUGAAUCUAAGUUAUUCCAUACUUUCAAUUCCCAUUUCCAUUUUCUCAGUUUGGACACUUUUCUUUUCUCCUGAGACUAAUGCAAGAGCUGACACUCUUUUUGCUUCCCUGUUUUCCUUUUUCGAUUGUUCUUCUUUCUUGAUGCUAGAGACCUUUUUUUUCUAAUCCAGAUGAAUUACUUUCUUUUGUUGUCUUGAAAAAUAUUCAGUGGAUCACAGUUAUCAAUAGAAUAAAAUUUAAAUCUUUUCAUUCAAGUUCCAUCCAGGAUCUGUCCUCAGAGUAUUUUCAGCCUCAUCUAUAGCUGGUCCUGUGCUUCUGGUUCCACGGAGGACCCCCAGCUGUUCUCGGAUCCAGCACUGCUCAUGAUGUUCUGUUGGCCUAAAUCUCUCUCAUCACCCAUGGUCCCGCUCAGGUACCACUUUCUCAAUGAAGCUUCUCUUGAAUCUUUAGAUGAGAUCAAGUACUUAAUUCUUUACAUUUUUCUUGUAGCAUUAGUCACCUAUAUAGCUCAAAUUUGUCUUGUGUCUUUCUCAUAUACAUACAAUUUCCCUGAAGAUGAAAUCUGGAUUUUCUCCUGAGCGUGUGUGUGGCCUUGCACAUCUUAGGUUCUUGGUACACUUUUUAGAAUGAAGGAAAGGAUACAUGUUCAUCAUUUGCAUAUGAAAUAAAUCUCAGGAACUAACAAUAUGGCAGGACACUUGUGUUUUUUUCAACUGUACUGCAUUUUCCCGAAGUCUCUGAUAGGGUCAGCUAUAAUACAAAAGUUUUUUUUGGUACUAGGGAUUGAACUCAGGGGCACUCAACCAUUGAGCCACAUCCCUAGUCCCCUAGCACUAUUUUGCAUUUUAUUUAGAGACAGGGUCUCACUGAAUUGCUUAGUGCCUCGACAUUGCUGAGGCUGGCUUUGAACUCACGAUCUUCCUGUCUUUCAGCCUCCUGAGCGGCUGGGCCAAAAGUUUUUUUUUUUUUUUUUUUUUUAAUUUCCUUAGGUUGUUUCAAAAUUUGACUUAAUUUAAGCAACCUAGGAUAUAAUAUUCACUACCUGUUUAUAGUCUCUAUUAUACUCUGAUUCCUUAGCAGUUUGCUAUCUUAGCCAUUAUCCCCAGCAGACAUAUAUAUUAUGUAUUGUAAUCAUUGAAUUCAUUUUUAAUUGUUUUCUAUCUUCUGCUUCUGGAGUGUGUGCACUGAGUGGUGACUGUUUUUGUUCAUUGCUAUAGCUCUCAACAAUGCUUGAUACAUAUCACGUAUUUUACAAGUAUAUUGGAAAAAAUGAGUGAAUUUAAAUGGCAAUUUGUGUUAUUCAAAGACCUACCUCUACUUUGUUAGUAUCAACUUUGAGACUAUUGAGUUUGGUAUUUUAGAAAACCCAAAGCAUAUCAUAAUAAUUUGAGUCAUUCAGAAAACUCACAUAUUGAUACUUUAUUUAUUUAUUUAUUGGUACCAGAGAUUGAACUCAGUGGCUCUUAACUACUGAGCCACAUCCCCAGACCUUCUUUAUCCUUUAUUUAGAGACAGGGUCUUACUGAAUUGCUCAGGGCCUUGAUAAGUUGCUGAGGCUGGUAUGAACUUGCAGUCUUCCUGCCUCAGCCUCCAGAGCUGCUGGAAUUACAGGCAUGUGCUACUGCAUCCAGCACGUUUUUAUUUUAAUUAGAAAAUGGUUGACUAUUGUCUAUGAAUAUUGCCCACAGAUAUUAUUGGCAGCCCUAUGAUAUAGGAAAACAUAAGGCUUUUAUCUAGAGGACACUAUCCUUAUUAUAGUAAACAAUAUAAAGAUGAAAAAUGACUUAGCUCCCCAUAUAAUUCUUUGACUUUGGGGAUAAUGAUGAGUCUGAUUUGGUAUAGUUUUGGCCACAUGGCUAUAUACCAUUUGUUUUUCGUCAUCUUUGUUCUUUUCUUCAAUGUUGUUGAGAAAGCUUUUCCAGUUCAUUUUUGAACUAUAAUAUCCUGCCAGCCUGUGGCAGAAUUUCUAAAAGGCUUUACACAUUUUAAGUGCCAAGCUGGUGCAACUUAGAGAGAAAAAGUCACAUGCAUAGGUGCUUUACAUUUUAUCAGCCAGUGGUUGGGCCUUUGAUCUGCCCUGCUAAUGUUGGUCAUUUGGGACCAUAUACUGUGCUUACCACCCAGUGUACCUAGCUAGUUAGGGUUCUGUGAAAGGACUGAAAGUCAAUACACUCAUUUUUUUUUUUUUUAGGACCUGAACAAUUAAGUAUGUGAUUAUCAACUAAUUUUACUUUGCAUUUGUAAUGAGGUCAAUCAAAAAAUGCAAUGGAAAUCUUAGUUCAUCUAGAACAGUGUUACAAUUUUUUUUUUUUUUUUGGUUCUGGGGUUUGAACUCAGGGGCACUCUAGCACUAAGCCAAAUCCCCAGUCCUAUUUUGUAUUUUAUUUAGAGACAACUCAGUCUUACUGAGUUGCUUAGUGUCUCACAGUUCCUGUCUCACAAUCUUCCUGCCUCAGUCUCCAGAGUUGCUGGAGUUACACAGGUAUCAUAAUUUUUAAGCUAACAAGAAGGACUUAGAUUUAAGGACUUUUUUUGUUGGUCAUCUUGUUAACAAGAGAAAAUACUUUCCUUCAAAGAGACUACUUGGUUUCUUGUUGUGUAUACAUAUCAUCUAACAUUUUAUCAUCAUUUAUUGGUAAUUUGGGGCUUCUACAUGGUAAAGUUUUUCUAAACAAAAGACAGAAUUUUGCCAAGACCCUCAGAGCUUAUGUAUGUAGCAAAAUUUCUGAAUGGUUAAAACUGAGUGUAGUAAAUGCCUAAUCCAGGAGGAAAGUUGCUUUUUUUUUUUUUUUAAAGAAUGAAGCAUUGAUUUGUACCAUUUUAUAGACUUACCCAGGAAUUAAAAAAUUCAUCAUGCAUACUUCUCAGGCAAUAACAGAUUAUAACUUGAUUCUAAACUUGCUAAUAUAUCGAUCAAGUAAUGCCAACAAGUUUAGACAACUUUGAACAUGUCAUUGAGAAGAGAUUGGAAGAGAUAAUUUUCCAUUUCAAAUCCACCAGUUCUGUACUGAGUCUUGCUCCAGGGUUUUCUGUGAUCUUGGCAAGUCACCGGCUCCAUUUGUCUUAGUGUUCCCAUCUGUAAAAUUGUGGUCAUUAGAUUUGACACUUCCUUUCCUAAAAGGGGAUGUUAUGAGGAUGAAUAAGGUAAUGGGUUGUGGUAAAAUGCUUUGAGCCCUUAGAAGAAAGGUGUUACAUAAAUACAGAGUAUUAUCUCACAUGAAAAAUAGCUCCAGUACGUUAAAUAGAGCAACUAAGAAGCAUAAUCAACUCCUAAUCUAUUUUUUCCCUCAAUGUGGAAAAUUUCUUACAUUAAAAGAAAUGAUGUUCAUGUAUUGAUUGGCAAAUACAUCAUCACCUUUCUCUAUUAUUGUGUCACUAAUACAUUUUUAAAACUUACAUAGUUACCAAACAUACCAUCAAUCUUUCCUGUUCCUUACACUGAAAACUUUGGAGUCAUCUUCAGUGCCUAUCUCUUAUUUGACCUCUAAAUCCUUACAGUUCCUGUUUGGGAAUAUAUAUUAGCUUGCCUUUAUUUCUCUUUAUAUCCCUAGGAACUCCCAAUGAGCUACAAUAGCUAAAAGACCAGAUUGAAAAGCCAGAGUGUUUGGGUUCAAAUCUCAGUUCCCUGUUUACAUAGUAUUUACUCUGUAAACUUUGGUGUGUGGUUUAACUUCCUCAUCUAUAAAAUGGGUAUAAUAAUAAUGAUACCUAUGUAAGCAGGCUGUAAAGGGAAUUAAGUUCAUGCAUGUAAAGUCUGUGCCUAGCUUGCAAUAUGCUUUCAGUAAAUGCUGGCUAUUAGUAUUAUAUGAACAAUUGCAAUAAUCUUGGGCUUAUUUAUUAUUCAUCAAACUUAUUUGAGGAGAUUGCCUUUUCCUCAAGUCUACCUUUACAACACAAUUCAACUUUCUUUUUUAAAUUAAACUUAUUUUUUCAAUUUUGAACUGAAUUUUUCCCAGCUCCCAAAAUAAUCAUCAUCCAUUUCCCAAUCAUGUGCUUAAAAUUAUACCUUUAAUGUUCCUCUUGAGCCACUUGUAUCUAUUCAAACUAUCAACUUCAUUGUCAAUAACAUCGGUGGGCAUGCUGCUUCAGUAAGGUUAAUAUCCCAAGAAUUCCUCACCAAUGCUUCCUCCACUUCCACUCUUCAUCUCCCUUUCUCUUUAAAAAUAUGUGCCCAUCCUCGCUUCAUAUCUCUGAUCCUCUGAGCAGCUCUUCAUAAGGAUUCCCUCUUUCUUCUGAUUUGUCUAAUCACUUGGAGAAUAAUAACACAUCAGCGCAUUGUAUAGAUCACUGAUGUAUAACUGAAUUUGAUUAUGUAGUUGAUGUGUUUAUAUUUUUAUGUACAGAAUAACUUUAUAUUGCUUUUUGAAUCAGAGCAAAGUAUUUUCCACAUCACAGAUUGGAGUCUGGAGACCUUUUCUCCCAUGCCAUGGGUACUGUAAAUUAGUGUGAAAUGGGCAUUGCAUGUAUAGAGUUCUCUGACAAGCUUCUGAAAUUAUCCUUUGUUGAUUUAGCAGUUCCAUAGCAUACGGCUCCUCUGACUUCCUGUUUAGUCUCUCAGGUCCCAAAAUUUUAAAUGAAUUGCUUACUACUGCAAGUUUUGAGCUGAGCUCAUAUCAUAUGUAAAUACAUUGUUUUAGGGAGCCUUAGAGAAAAGUUCUAAGCAAACAGUAAUAACUACCCAUAUAAUCAUAGCAUCAGAUGGAUAGAAAGGUCCUAAAAUGUCAUACAUUCUUCAAGACCAAGAAAUCACAGUCGUCUCUAUUUCUAUUAACUUAAUAUGGGAUAAUUUCAGAGAAUGAAUGGAUAUUUAAACAUUUCCAUAAAAUGCUGAUUGUAUUAUUUAUUUCCACUUUUUAUAUAUAUUGUAUUACAUAAUUCUAGCAAAGCUUAGAGCUAGUGAAAUUUCUGAUUUGUUGGUGAGAGUAGGGCAUGCAAUACCCAAUGCUGAAUUUAAAGUUAAUACUAUUUUUAUAGUGUCUGCUUUUCUUUGUUUGAAUUCUUCUCCCCAGAACUUUAGUACAAUCUAUUCUAUUUAUUAUCACUAAGUGUGUGUGUGCAUGAGUUUGGGGGUGUAUAGGACAACGUGGUAAAGGAGACUCACAUCUUUGUAAAAACUGUUCAGAAAAGAAAUAGUUUUCAUAGAGGCAGGGGUUUGAGGGGCAGAAUUGAGUGUUAAGACUGAAAAUUUACUACCUUAGAAUUCACAGAAAUCUUUAAGAGGGUUUUAGAUUUCCAUAGGACCAGUUUUCAAAUUUGACCCAGUUUUACCCAGAUCUCAAGGGAUUGGGUGUCUCCACUAGAUAUCUGGGUUAGACAUAUAAAGCUUUAAAUUAUUAGGUUUAAUUUGCAUUGGGUCAAUUUGAAAGUUAGUCCCAUCAUUUAGAGCCACAGGCCAUCUUCAUUAGAAUCAUAAGAAAUUUUGUUAAAAUACUAGGCCUCAUUCCAGAUCUACCAAAAAAAUCUCUGGGGUUGGAUGCAGAGAUUUUUUUUUUUUAAGUACAUUCAAGUUUAAGAACGAUUGCCAUUGAAGCAAAAUCUUCUAUUUUGUGUAUAUUUCCCCUUUAGACUAUAGGUAUCUUGAGAGCCAUAGCAUUUUAUAUUUUUGCAAAAUAUAUGGGAUUUCUAUUUAAUUUAUAGGUCCCCUGGAAAUCAUCCCAUCAUAACUGCUCAAAAAAUAUUGUUAAAAUAGAAUGGAAUUACUACAAAUGUAUUUGCCAUUUUAUAUACUUCCAGAAAAAAUCCCACAAGAUGUCAGAAAGAAUAUAACCGUAUAAAAAUGCCUGCUCUCAUUGUAUUCUUGUAUGUUGUUUCUAAGGCAAAGGAUAUUAAGGGUUCCUUACCACAAAAAAUGAUAAAUGGAUUAGGUAAUGCAUAUGUUAAGUAUCUUGAUUUAGCUGUUUAAUACUACAUACAUAUUUAAAACAACAUGUACAUAAUAAAACAUAAAUUUUAAAAAUUGUUACUUAUAAAUAAAACAAGUAAGUAAAUACUACUCUAUUUGCUCAUCUGAGUUUCCUGAUCACGAAGCCAUUAGGUGACAGUUGUGAAGUAUGACUCGAGUUGACAGAAUCAUUAUAAUUUAGGUAAAUAUAGGAUCCUUUCAAAUGUCCAAUUUCAACCAAUUGUAAGUGUCCUGGGUGUAUUGGAUGACCUUUGCCCCAGGCAUGUUGGUAAAGUUUUGAGGAUGGAGAUAUUUCAUAGAUGGAUUGUAUUUAACAGUUUUCACAGUCACUGGUGGCUCCCUGGACUCCACACCCAUAUGUCUAAGUGCUUUCUCAGUCUAUUUGCACCUAAGAAACAUCUCAGUUUCAGCCUUCCCAUGUGUUCAACAUUCUUGGAGUCAUUCUCCCUGAUCAAAUGUUUUAGUGCUACCUUCAAUGGAUAGAAUCUGCUUUUUGAAAAAUAGACUUAACAAUUUUAAGUUCACAGCACUACUGAAUGGGAGUUACAAGGUACAGGGAUUUCCCAUACACCUUCUGUUUCUAUACAUCCAUAAUCUCCCCAUUAUAAACAUUCCCUAUGAGAGUAAUGGGACAUUUGUUAAAAUUGGUAAAUCUACAUUGAUAUGUCUUUAUCACCCAAACUUCAUUUACUUUAAGGUACACUCUUUGUUUGGUACUGAAUAUUGAACCCAGGGGUGCUUAACCACUGAGCUACACUCCCAGCCUUUUUAUUUUAUUAAUUUUUAAAAAUUUUGAAAUAGAGUCUCAUUAAGUUGAUUAGGGCCUUGCAAAAUUGCUGAUGCUGGCCUUGAACUUGCAAUCCUCCUGCCUCAGCCUUCUGAGUGGCUGGCAUUACAGGUGCAUACCACCAUGCCCUGCUAAGUUUCACUCUUGAUUAAACCCCUUUUUAAUUACUUCUAUCCAUCCCUGGUCCAAGUUACCAUCAUCUUUUGUCCACAUUAUUGCAACUGCCACUUACCUGGUCUUUCUCUUUUCAGGUUUGCCUCUUAAUGUUGAUUCUCAGCAGUAGCUGCAGUGAAAAACAUUUAUCAACUUUUGUCAUCACUUGGCUUGAAACAUUCCAUUUCAUUCAGAAUAGAAGCCAAAGUCCUUACUGAAAAAAAUAUUAGCAAACAACUAGUUUUAUUUUUAACUAACAUAGUAUUAGAAGAAAGGAAAUGCUGAAUGUAGGCAACUAUUAUUUGUUAACCCUUUAAAUGAGCUUUUUACUAUGUGUAUUUAAAAAACAAUUUCUUGCGACAUAAAAAAUUUCAUGGACUUCUAUCCAUCAAUUUUACUUAUUAAGUACAAUAUUUAUUUCUUAGUCAUCAAGCACAUUCUCAGUACUGGAUCACACCCUGAGUAUUCAAGAGGCUGUAGAAAAUGUGGAGUUACUGCAGCCCUGUGGAAACUUGGGAAGCUAAACAGCGCAUUCACAGAGAUCUUUAUGCCCUUUACUGUAAUUACUGCCAGAUUUUGCAGUCUUUGGUGCAAUAUCUGGAAAGGAAAAUUUUAUUACUCUCUUAAUACUGCUUUAAAUAUUCUUUCUUUACAUAAUUAGUGACUUUCUAACUUGCUACAAUUUUAGUGGUAGAUUACGGAGAAGACUAGAGAAGGGUCUAGAUUUGGCCUUUGUCUUUAUUACUUUUAAAUCAGAUUUUAAUUUCAGUCACCUUCCCCACAGAAAAAAGAGAAUCCGAAUCCUGAAUUAAAAUAAAAUGGACGAAUUUUGACACAUUGGUUAUUUGAAACCUAAAAGACUAAAACUAUGUUUUACUUAUUGAGAGAAAAGUCUCUUUCAGUUGACCUAGUGUUAUGAAGAUAGCACCGAAAUUUCUGUCUUAUAAAAUUCAUAGCCUACUUAGUCAUUUAUGUGAAAUUUGGCAGACUUACAUAUUUUAAUAGGCUAUAACAUGAAAUAAUGUUAAAUGACUAAUUAUCAAAGUACUGACUUAAAUAAAUCUUUGCAAAAUUUUCUUUGUUUAGUAAUAAAGAAAUCCUCAAUUUCCUUAUUAGAGAACACUAAUAACAACAAAAAUGUUAGAGUUGUGAGAAAUAAAAACUUCUACAUAUUUUUAAGUCAAAAAAAUCUCUAUGUGUUCUGAUGGCCUGUAGAUAUUUAGUACACCUUUGAAUGACCUCAAGUCCUGUAGCUGGACAGGAAAACUCUAUCGUAUUAGUGCUGUAGAUGUGCAGUAAUAUUUUUCAGUAUAUUAUUUCCUUUUCAAGGGAGAAAUUGGAAAGUGGUACUUAGAGUAAAAUAUAAUCCUAUCAAUUUUACAUAAAAUAUUGAUAGGAAAUAAAAAUUUAGCAUCCCUGGUGUGUGAAUUCACUAGACUGCACAAAAUACAAAUAUAUAGAUUAAGGAAAGUUAACAUAAUCUUUUUAUGGGAACUAAAAUCAAUUACAUGUCAGCUUUGUAGUAUUAUAAAUGUAUUUAGUCAGCAUAGAAUUUUUCCAGCAGUGUUUCCUGCAGAUUGAAAUUGACUAACCAGAUGUUAAAUAUUAAAUAGAACUAAUCAAAGCAUGGUUCAAGAGACUUUAAAAACAAUGAUCAAAGGGAGCUAUUUAUUACCUUAUGCAUGUUACUGUUGAAAUAUUGGCUCUGUGAUAUUAUAUUUAAACUUAGUUUUUUCAAGAUCACAUUUUCUACUUUUAUAUGAAUAGUAAUUAAUGUUAAUAAAUUAACCCUGUAAGUAUGUAACUGAAACAGUAUAUGUAAUCAUGGAGACUUGACCAAGAAAUGUAAAGCUCAAUGCAAAGAUAGAAAAACUUAGUGAAAUGUUUAGUACAUACACACACACACACACACACACACACACACAUAUAUAUAUAUAUAUAUAUAUAUGUAAAAAUAUAAGCACAGUCACAUGUUGCUUAAUGAUAAGGAUAUGAGGAUAUAUUCUGAGAAAAGAAAAAGAAAACUAAAGCAAUUAAAUCAUUGAUUGACAAACCUAGGUGGAUGGUAUAGCUGACGAUGCACCUAGGCUACCUAUAUAUGGUAGUAUAUGCCUGUAUACAUAUGAAAUAGCUUAUGGCUCCUAGGGGCCAAGACGGGCAAAACAACAUUAUGAGAUUAAAUCAAGCACAAGAGAAAAACGAUACAAUCAUGAGACAUGGCAGUCUGCAGAUAUUGGUGGCUACUGCUGGCAUAGCACAGCAGACUGCUCCGUAAACUCAUUUUUGGGGGUUUACUGGAGAUGGAACCCAGGAGUGCCCUACCAAGGAGCCACAUCCCCACCAGCCCUUUUGAUCUUUUUGUUGUUGUUGUUGUUGUUUUGAGACUAGGGUUCCACUAAGUUGCUGAGGCUAUCUUCUUCAAACUUUUGAUUCUUCUGUCUCAGCAUCGUGAAUAGCUAGGAUUACAGCUACCGUGGCUAGCCAAACUAUUAUUUUGUAAGUAGAAGGGGAGUACACUCUAAAAUAAGGAUCAAAAGAAUCAUAUAGUGAAUACAUAACCCAGUAACAUGGUCAUUUAUUAUCAUCAUCAAGUAUUAUGUACUGGACAUGAGUUUAUGUGCCAUCCUUUCAUAUGACUGGCAGUGCAGUAGGUUUGUUUAUGCCAGCAUCAACACAAACACCUGAGUAAUACAUUGCACUGUUGUUUUAUUGGCUACACUGUCACUUGGCCAUUGGACCUUUUCAGCCCCAUUAUAAUCUCAUGGGACUCUGUUGUAAAUGUUGUCUGCUUUUGACUGACACAUGGUUGUGUGGUACAUGACAGAUGACUAUAGUGAAAAAUGCUGAAGUUCAUUUGUCUACAUACACACACACACACACACACAAAAGUGCAAUAUUAGAACUACUUCUGAGGGUGGGAUCUUGGAGGCUGGACAUUUGGUCAGGGCUUUUACUUUCAGAAAAUUGAUUUUUCUAUUUCCAAAAAUGAAUAAAAAAUGAUUUUGGGGAAAGAUUGCCAGGAAAAGGCAUUUGAUAGCCUUUGAUAAGAUCAAUCCAACCCAUUAUUUAGAGAGAGUCAACAAUUUUUUGCUUAUAUUCAACAGGUUUUCUUUAGCUCUUUUUUUUUUGUACCUGGGAUUAAACCCAGGGGUGUUUAACCACUGAGCCACAUCCCUGGCCCUUUAUAAUUUUUUAUUUUGAGACAGCUCUUGCUAAGUUGCUGAGGCUGGCUUUAAACUUGUGAUCCUCUUCCCUCAGCCUCCUGAGCCAUGCCUGGCUUCAUGAGCCCUUAUUUUAGCUCAUUUUCUCUUGAAAUACAUUUGGGAAAACAGAGUUGAUAGAUUUUUUGGUACCUGAUGCUAUUAAUUUUACCAUUGUCAUUAUUUUUUUAUAAAUUAAGAAAACAUCUCAUGAAGUAUAAAGGCUUCAAUAAACAAUGGAAUUGACAACUAUUUAUAUACCAAUAAAUGUUUUCUACCAAUAUACAAAGGUUUCUGAUUUAUUUAUUUUUUAAUUUUUUGGUAUAUGUGUGUUCAUGUUAGAGGGGUAAAAAAAGAAAAUGAGUUCAAAGUAUAAAAUUGUAUUCAGAAUGUUUUAUCUUAUUCUGAAAUUUCCUUGCUUCUAGUAAGGUAUUUUUGGACAGAAUUUUAAGUUAAUUUCUGCUAUUUUUAGUUGGUUGUUUUCUAUUAGUAAUAACUUUAAAUCAAUCAGCAUAACAUAUUUAAAAAAACAUUUGUUUUAAUACAGAUGGUAUUGAUUCUUCUACAGAAGUUUUACUGUAUGCCAGGAAUGCUGUAUGUUGAGUAUAUUAAGUUCCAUUAUACUUUUAAAAGCAAAUCAGGAACCCUAUAUCAGGCUGGGGAUGUAGCUCAGUGGUAGAGUACUUGCUCAGUGUUUUUGUAGUCCCUGAGUUCUAGCCCUAGCACCAACACCCCAAAACAAUAACCAAUAAAUAAAUGUAAGAAAGGAAAAAGUAAGGAAGAAAGUAUGUAAGUUGGAAAGAAUGGUGUAUAUUCACACACUCCCACCAUACAGGUCUAUCUUUGAAUUUCACUUACACUGUUCUACAAAUGGCUCUUUCCAGCUGAUUCAGGACCUACCUUCUUUCAAAGUUCUCCUCACAGGUAGAAUAGAAAUCAUUGCUUAAAUAAAACAAGAUACAAUGUUUAGCAUUUGGCAUUUGUAAGCUUAGCUUACAUGAUUUUGGGUACAAAAAGGUAAAAUCGGAGCAUACCCCAAAUGAGUACAGCAGAGGCCAGGACAGAGUAUGGGAUGGGAAGGUGUUUUAUAGUGUAUUGGAAUUAGAUUUCAAAUAGAAAACAAUAUAUUGAAAUUAGGUUUCAAAUGGAAAAAAAGUCAAAGUUCUUGCUGUUGGUAUUUCUCCCCAUUGUGGGUACCCAGCGUGUCCCCCUCCCCUUUGCUGUUUGGACUUGACUUCAGAAGCCUGCUAAAAGGAUAUUAAAACUGGCUCUUGGACUUCAUGAAGCAAAGACUACAGAAAAAGCCUUGGUGGGAAAGGAGGGCUCAGAUAGUCCCAGGAAAGCAGAGGUGGCGAGUAGAAGGGAUUUAACAAAGUCAGCUGGAGGGAUCUGUUUAUUCAAAGCUUGAACUUUGAGGAAAGAAGAAAAGAUCAUGUAGCAAGUGUUCUGACACAGUGAUGCCAUGACCUUGCUGGCAGCAUGAGGGGUCAUGUGCAAGUGACCUUGGACAGGAGACCAUCAACAGAUAUAAAAUAACAUAAGAUGUCAAAUUCAGACCAGACCGGAAAAAAGUAUAUUUUAUCAUCUAUGUUGGGUUAAGAGGUUUCUACCAGGUCUCUAGUGGGGAUAAACUAUAAAUCUAAUUAGAACCUCACUUUAUAUCUUUUAUACCUUUGUUAAAUAUAUUUAAGUUUAAAUUAACUGUAUGAUAAUUUGUAGGUAGUUCUCAUUUUAAUUGUCACUAGUAUUUCAGUAAACCCUUUUUCUGUUUCAUGAAAUUAGGUUUCAAAUUGAAAAAAAAGUCAUUCAAACUCUACAUAAGAUUUAUUUUCAAAUUGGGAACACUACUUUUUCAGGGGUAGCACCGAAAGAGGUUUUUUUUUUUUUUUUUAAAGAAUAGCGAUGACAUUAGAUGAACAUUCUCUGUUGUAGUGAAGAUUCUCUUGCCCAAAGCAGGGAAAAUUGGGUAAAUAGCACCAUUUACAGAACGUUGCUUUAGAAAGGCUCAUUUCUCACUGGGUAGGCUACAAAUUACAGGCAGAAUGGAGGCUUUUUGAGUGGCAGUUUUCUAUAAAGUAGGCUUUGUGUGCUUAACAGAUUAACUGCUUUUUAUGUUAUUCUUUUCCCCAGGAUUCAGGAAAGAAAAUGACAUAAUAGAUUUUUUUUUCUCCCUAGGAUCAUAGUAAACCUCCUUAGUCAAACCCAGUUGCUCUUUGGGAGGUAAAGAGCGAACUAACCUGUGUUUCUACAAGUUACAAAAUCAUUUACAUUUAUUACCCUUGCACAGUGAGGCCCCAGAGCCUCAGAGCUAUGAUUCUCCAAAUCACUGCAUUCUAAGCUUGACUGAUUGGUUUAAAAGCUUGUGAGAGAUUUAUAAUGAUUCACUGUGUAAGCCAAUGAUUUUACAUUUAAGGCAGGAGACUGCUUAUAAAUGACGGAAAACUUUAGACUCUCCUUGGACUCACCAGGUGACCAACUGUUUCCAUAGGCUGAGAUAAAAACAGUAUUGCUUUUGCACGGUUUGAACCUAUAAUUUGUAAAAUGCACACACAUUAUAAUGUAUAUUAGCAUGAUAAUGUUAGUUCUCCAUUUAUAUGGCUACUUUGAAUUAUUUGGCUACAUUGAUAUCUGCGUGUAUUAACCACAGAAACUUAAAAGGCUCCAUUGCUUUUGAACCUUGCUUGUUUACUCUUGUAAAUUUUAAUUGCUUCCUCAAAUUCCAGAUUUGGCAUUUAAAUAGCACAUAUUGCUGUACAUUGACUUUGGAAAAAUUACUCUGCUUAGUUACUGUAAUGUUUGACAACAACAUAUAACAUCAGCUUCAUUUGCUGUUUAAAAGUUUACACAAAUUGUUGAUGUUUAAAUGUGGUAUGGGUAUAAAUGAAAGAAAUAAGAUUCAUGGCGUAUUAUAGGAAAAUAUUAAACUUUGUAUGACAUUUUCCCCUGUUUGAUCAGUAAAGAAAAUUUGAGAAGUAUGAGGAAAACCAAAUAUUUUAACUAGGAAAUUAAAUUAUUAAGAGAAAUAAAGUUAUUAGGAAUAAUUAAAGGACAGUGUUGGAGAAAUAUCUCUUACGUAAGCCCUAUAAGAAUUUCUACCAAUAAAUCUAUUUCUACCAGCAGUGCUGAGGGUGCCAACUGGAGUGGGUAUGACAUUCCAAGCAGGUACAGUUUUUAACAUGUUUGCUAGAAGAAAGUUGUUGCACCAUCUUUUAAGCCAUUUCAUUAAUCACAAUUCAAGCCACACUGCCCUUCUGUCCCCAUCUCUAGAAACAAAAAGUCCCUACAACUUCUGGCCUGUUGCUCGUGCAGUUCUGCCAUCCACCCUUCUUCCUAAUACCCACCCGACUUUCUACUUCUGCCUUAUUCUUUAGACUCCUUCCUAUUCAGAUCAGGUCAACAUUGCUAAUGUCUGAUGCUUAGCACAACAACUGGAGUUUAGUAAGUAUUUAGUGGCAUUAAUAAUGUUAUUAACCUUAUCCCAGUAGUGAUUACACUAUUUCUUACCUUAAUUGAGUAGCCUUUUUCUAUACAAGGUCACUUCCUGGGAGUCUCUUUAGAAUAGGGACCACUCUUUCUUUCAAACUCUGGAAAUCCCUAUUUCUCAAAGGUGUCAUUCUCCACAUUCUCAUUCCCAUAGCUCCGUCCUAUUUAUAUGCAUUUUGUGAAAGACUUUGUCAUAAUUUUAAUUUAGAAAACUUUUAAUUUGUUCUUUUUAGAUAUACAUGACAGUGGGGUGUAUUUUGACAUACUUGGGGUAUAACUUAUUCUAAUUAGGAUCCCAUUCUUGUGGUUGAACAGGAUGUGGAGUUUCACUGGUUGUGUAUUCAUAUGUAAGCAUAGGAGAGUCAUGUCUGAUCCAUUCUACGGUCUUUUAUUUAUCUUUGAUUAGUUCUUUGUAAUUUUACAUAAAGGUGAGAUUCCCUGUGGUAUAUUUAUAUAUGCACAUAGCAUGAUUUUAAAAUAUUCAUUUCACAUUUCCUCCCCUUUCAAUCCUUCUUCUCUCCCUCUCAAUCUCCUUUUUCUUCUCCUCUAAUGGUCUUCCCUAGAUCUUUAUAUAUCCAAUCCUCCCCACCUUCUUUGCUUUAUUUUGUUUUAGCUUCCACAUGUGAAAGAAAACAUUUGACCCUUGAUUUUCUGAGACAGGCUUAUUUCACUUAGCAUGGUAUCCUCCAUUGCUAUCAGUUAUCAGCAAAUCUGUGGCACUCUCUUCUCAGCUCUGGUGGGCUCUGUCUUCUCACUCAGAAUCCAGGUGAGGGGCAGCCACAGUCUGAGAUGUGGCAGGUGGAGAGGAGAAGGAAUCUGUGAUGGAUGUUGGCUGUUGUGAUGGCUGUUUAAGUAUGUGCACAGGCCCCACCCACUCACAUUCCAUGGUCCACUGAGGUCCUCGGCAGGAUAUAUAUUCCUGUUACAGGAGGCACAGGCAAGUCACACUCCAAGGGCAGGAAGAUUAAUCCUCUUACAGGAACUGGGUAGUGAGAAUAAGUAGUGAUGAACUGAAUAUAGUCCUCGUAAUUUGUUUUCUCAAAUUGUCUUUCUUGCAAUAUUUGAAUUCUAUUAGUUGAAGAAUUAUGUUGUGGAAAUAUUUUUCUUUCAGAAAUUAUUACAAACAAGAAAACAUGCCAUUUUAUAAUGAACCAUUUUAUAUAACAUAAGAGGAGGAUAGAAGCUCAGCAGCAUGUCAGAGCUGUGGCUACUUUCUCGUGAACUCUGAUCUUCUCCCUCCAUCUCAAGUUAGUUGGCUUUUUUCUCAUCUUGGUUUCCCUCAUGGUUGCAAGAUGGCUGCUGGUGGUAAGUAUUGCUCCAUGUUGCUUUGGGCAUUCCUAGAAAAUCUGCUUAUUUAGAAAUAUAGGUUCUUCCCUUCAAUAUGAUUAAGUCAGUGGAAAAUGUGUGUCCCCUAGAUCAAUAUUAUUCCACAGGAGAACUAAUCUAGGUCUACGCUCAUCAUCUGGGACAGACAGGACAUUGAAGAGUCAACCACAACAGUUUUGUCAAUUAGAGCUACCACAAUCCAUAAUCUUGCAUCUCUUUCUGUAACAUCUUCGUAGGGUUCUCUCUUUUCUUCUCUUCCCUCUUUGUGGCUCUCAGCCUUCCCCCAUAUGCAUAUAUGUAGAUCCAUAUUAUUCAUAGUCUUCUAUUCUUCAAAUUCACUUUCUUGAUGAUUUUAUCUACUUAGAAGACUUUUCUUUGGAAGACCCCUUGCCUCUUUUCUUGAGCUGAAGGUUGAGAUUCUAGUUACCAACAGCAGCUCAGAGAAGAACACAUAGAAAACACAUGAGACAUUUUUGGGUUGUUCUAGAAACACUCCACUGUAAACUGCAAGCUUAACAUCCAGCAGAGGAAGGCAAGAGUCAGUGCUAUUUGCUACUGAUGAAAUCACAUCCUUUAUUCCACAGGCCAGGGAAAUCUGGGAAAACCCAUGGUUACGUGUGUGUGCUCACUUCUGGUAAAAUUAAGCCACUUAUCAUCAGACACAGCAAACACACUCUUGUCUCUGACCUUCACUUAACACAGUCUAUCAGUCAGUACUGGCUUCCUCUCUCUCCACCUACCUGAUGACUUAGUGCACAUGUCUGCUUUUCCAUGAAGCCAUCUCUAAGGCAUUAUGAAAAGUUUGAAUAUAGAUUUGAGUUUUAUUUUUAGUUUUGGUAGACUAUCUUCUCAAGACUUUAGUUUCUCCAUUUGGAAAAAAAGGGCAUAAUAUGUAGACAAUGUGGCCACCAACUUCAUGGCUCUAAACAACUAACUAAUCUCUCAGUGUCCAUGGGCCAGGGUCCAGGCAUGGCUUUGCUGAGAGUUCUGUGCCUCAGGAUCUCUUUUGAAGGCUGUAAUUAAGUUAGGAUGGCAGUCUUGUCUCUAGUUUCUAAGUUUACCAGACUGUGGGCAGAAUUCAGUGUCUUCCAACAUGUUGGAGGAAGGGCCUCCCUUUCUGUCUGGUCUGAGGUUGAAAUCCACCCUCGGCAUCUUCCCAUGUGGCUUCUGGUUUGUUCUAAGCCAGCCAGGUGGAAAGUCUCUCUGGCAAGAAUGGACAAUACCAUCCUGUGCAUCACAAGCAAGGAAAUGACAUCUCAUUAACCCCCCCCCCCCCGCCCUUUUUUUUGACAAGAAGAAAGUUUCAGAUACUGCCCACACUUAAGAGAAAGAGAAUCACACAAAAAUGUGUUGGAGGCCACAUUGGAAUUUGCUACAAUUCUCAAUCAACAAAUUUGAACAACAUGCAGAUAAAAAUAUCAGCAAGGUGCUUGACUUUUGAAAUGUAUUCUGCAGAGGAGAGUAUUAUUAUCCCUCUUAGACAGAUGUGAGGGCAAACCUAGGAACCUAUAUUUUGAUUUCACUCUUAUGGUGUUUAUAACUAUCACCUGGAAGUAUUCAUAUUAUUUGUGUAUAAGUUUUAUUUGAUUUCAGAGUUAUAAGUUUUGGAAGGAAGGGACACAUUCUUGUUUUUUGGAACCAGGGACUAAACUCAGGCUUAGGAGGCCACUGAUCAACUUACCCCUAUUUUGUAUUUUAUUUAGAGACAGGGUCUCACUGAGUUACUUAGUACUUUGUUUUUGCUGAUGCUGGCUUUGAACUCUCGAUCCUCCUGCUUCAGCCUCCUGAGCAACUGGGAUUAUAGGCAUGUGACACCAUGCUAACUGGGACAUAUUUUUUUUUUUUUAUAAUUUUGAAACUCCUGGUAUCUGGUAUUAUUCCUUACUCCCAUAGUCCCUUACACAUCUAUAUUCCAGUUCACAUAAUGCUGCAUUAUAACUAGAAAUAUGCACCUAUCUCUCCUACUAGAUUGGGUAUUCCUUGAGGUGGUGUGUGUGUGGGGAGAACCCUGGGCUUUUUUCUUUUCUAUUUAUUUCCAUUACAUCCCCCCUCCCUCAACUCCCUCUUACAAAGUAUCAAAUACAGAGCUUGGCACAUAGUAGAUACUCAAGAAAUGAUGCUCAUUGAAUACAUAAUAAUUACUCAGAAACAAUUUACUCAAUAAAUAAGCAAAGUUUAAGGGUAGUGUUUAUUACCUCAAGGAAAGGUACAAACAUGUGAUGCAAGUAAAAAAAAAAAAGUUUUUUUUUUUUUUUAAUUCCCUUGCUUUUUUUUCCCUGAAAGGAAAAAUUUAAAGAAAAAUCAAAUAAUUGAUUUUUGGAAAUGAGGUGGCAUAGAAAAACCACACAGCUCAGAUUAUGAUUCCUUUCCAGUCCAUGAAAUUGUUGAAGCCUCUUUAAAGAAAAUUUGUUUUAGCAGAUGCCUGCCAUUUAUUAUUGUGUUGAAUUUAAUGUUUAGAUUUGUGAUAUCUACCUCAUAGGAUGGUUGUGGGAAUCAAAGGAGUUAUGAUAUAGAAAAUAUCGAGCAUAGUUAAUUUCUGGAUCCUCCUGCCUCAGCUUCCUGAGCUGAGCUGUGCUCAGCAUAUGCCACCCUGCCCAGCUCACUAAUCUUAUUCUAAUGAGGAUUCGGCCCUUGUGACUUAAUCACUUCCUAAAGACCCACCUCUUAACAUUCUCACAUUGGCAAUUCAGUUUCUGUAUACGAAUUUUGAGGGGACACAUUCAGACCACAGCAUUUGUGUAAGGAAGAGAGAAUCUUGCCAUGCUCUUGAACUGCUGCCUUGUUGAUAGCUAUCUGCUUUAUAUCUAAUGACUAUCUCUGGGCUUGAUAUACAGUAAGUGUUCAAUAAAUGACAAUUGACUGGAUGCAUAAAUAAAAUUGGCCUCAGGAUUAGAAUUCUCCAAAAAACAAUAGACUCUUAAAUGCAGAGCUCACAAAUUAUUAACUCUGUCUGUAUAGGUCCAGGGAGACAAGCUCAUUGCCUGUUUACAAAGUUUAUUAUUUGUAUUUUGCUUUUCUUGAUGGCAUGGUCCCUGCUGGUGAAUAUACCUAUCUCUCAAGUGAGGGUCAUUGUGACAUACAGUUUUCCCUCUACACCUCCCUCAUGAUCCCUGUAGUCUGAGUUCUCAUUUCACAGCUUUGUUAUCUAUUCUUCUUCCACACUUCCACAACUCCUUUGGCAUUAAGCAUGUUCACAGUGUUGUGCUAUCACCACUGUUUCCAGAAUUUUCUAUGAAUUUCUAGAAAUUUCUACCAUUAAAAAGUCAACCCUCUUCUUCCCUCCUCCAACCCCUGUCAACCUCUAUUCUGCUUUCUGUCUCUAUGAAUUUGCUUAUUCUAGGUAGUUCUCCUAAGGGGACUUAUGUGCUAUUUGUCCUUUUGAGUCUGGAUCAUUUAUUUAGCAUGAUAUCCUCAAGGUUUAUCCAUGUAGCAGCGUGGGUCAGAAUGUCAUGCCUUUUUGACGGCUGUGUGUAUGCACCAGCAUUGUGGGUAUGCAUUCAUUUAUCAGUGGACAUUUGUGUUGUUUCCACCUGUGGCUCUUGUGAAUGCAGCUGCUAGGACCAUUGGUGUACAGUACCCUCCUUUCAGUUAUUUGCAGUAUAUAUACAUAUAUGGUACUAGAACCACUGCAUCAUAUUAUAAUUGUAUAUUUAAAUUUUUGAGGACCCCCCCAGUGUUUCUCACAAUAGCUAUACCAUUUUACAUUCCCUCAUCCUUCCUGAGACUUGUUAUUUCUGUUGCUUAAAAAAUAUGUGUGUGUGUGUGUACACACACCCACACACAAAUGAUAGCCAUCCUAAUGGGUAUGAAAUGGUAUCUUAGUGUGGUUUUAAUUUACAUUUUCCCUAUGAUUACUGAUGUUAGGCAUCUUUCCGUGUGCAUAUUGGAUAUUUGUGUAUUGUACUGGAUAAUAUAUUCCUAAAACCACUGUUGUUGUCUUUCCAGUUAGAUUUGGCGGUUGUGUCUUAGCUGCAAGUACUCCUGGUGCUUUCUUUCUCACUGUGUAUUGUAAGACAAUAUUUUAUAGGGAAAUGUAAAUUAAAACCACACUGAGAUGCUACUUCAUGCCCAUUAGGAUCACUGGGAUGGGUACUUUAUAUAAACAUAUACACACAUGCAAUUUUUAAACAACAGAAAAUAACAAGAAUAAUGUCUUAAUUUUGGUCACAUACCCUCAGCUGCCUAUAAUACAUUGGUCCUUGAUAUCUGGCUUUUACUUCAAGCUCACCACAUGUGAUGCUUAAAUUUUCAUUCUGGUCUCACAAAUCUUCCAAUUCCCAUCACUGUUUCACUUUCUACCUUUAAUUUAUUUUUGGUUUUAUUUUUGUUUUCUCCAUCUUCAUCCUCCACAUUCAAAUAGUCACCAGUUCUGGUUUAUUUCUCCCUCACAGUUUUUAACUUUAACUCAAACAGAUGCAAACUAAGACAGUUUCAUGAUUAGUGGGUAUACUUUCCAUUUAAUGUUUGAGUCUUUUGUGAGAGAAGUGGUUCAACUGUUUGUAUUUUAACAAGAUAAACUAUUGUAGUGUUUAGCACCACACCUGGCAUAAAGAAGCAUUCAAUAAAUAUUUGCUGAAUGAUUUGAAUUUGUUUCAAAUAUUAAAUGUUAGCAUCCAAAUCUGUAGUAGUUUAUUGCUUUUAAUGGCAUGCUAACAUACUUUAGGCUUAAGAGGAGAAAACUGGAUUUUAAAAAAAUACAAGAGGAUGUGCAAUUAACUUUUUCUAGGAUGUGCCAUAUACUGAUGUCUCAGAGAAUUAAAUUACAUUCUGUGCUUCCUUUUUCAAUAUUAUAUUUAAGAGGUUUUUAAAAUGUAAAAUGUGUCUAGUAGUGCUUACAUUUGGUAUCAAAUAUAAGUGAUUAAUAAUUCCAUGUUCUUUGAAUUCUUGAUUUGUUUCCUGUGUCAGAGAUUGGAGACUAUUAAGAGGCGAUUAGGGAGGAUAUCCUUGAAGUCUCCUUCACACCAAGAAUCUCCCUUUUUUUUUUUUUUUUGGUUCACUUCACUUAAUGUGGGAGUUGCUUGUGAUAUUUUCUACAUUUCACCUUCCGAGGUUAUGGGCCCCAUUCAUAUGCCAUAUCUCCCUCUCAGAUGAGUAAGUAUGACUUUUAUGAAUUUUCUUCACUUGUAGAAUUUAAUUUACAUGAAUAAUUAGGAAAGGACCAAGUGAAAUUUCUCUCUCCCUAGGCAAACAAUCUUGUUAAGAAAAUCAACUGCAAACUUUGCCUUCAAUUUUUUUUUCUUUGCACCUUUAAAUUUAUUGCUUGCUACAAAGACGCAAAAUAAAAAGAAAUAUAGGGUACUACAACAUACUGCUAUUUUGCAUAUUGAUAUCUGAAUAAUUACCUUAGGGCAUAUUGAGUUAUAAUAUGAAAUACUAUUCCCUCAGGACAUUAUCUUAAAAUAUUUUACUUAUUUAGCAUACAGCUCAAUAUUUUAGAGUUAUGUAAAGUGUAUAGUUGGGAACUGACAUUGGAUUGUGCUGGCAGAAACAAGAAAAAAGAGGGAUCUAAUAAGAAAAGGGAAUUAUUCCUAGAAUGUUACAGUAUUUAAAUACUGUUGCCAUAUAGCUGGUUAAUUCUGAUAGCCAACAUAAUCAAAGAGAAGAUGGCUGUAAUUCUGUACAGAUGAUUAAUAUGUGUGUACUUCCUGUUUAAAGUGUAUUUUGCGUGGAAUUCAGUUUGAUAUGCAUAGCUGUAAUCUUGUCUUUUUAAGUUCCAUUUGCACAGUCAGGAGUUCUCCUUUGACAAUGCAAAGGCCUGAAAUAGAUACCCAAAGAAUAGUAUUUGAAAGGAAGAAACAUGGUUGCUGGAGUACAGUGCUCAUGAAGUGCCUCAGUAAUCAGCCCAGGAAUCAAACACACAAAAAUAUGGUGAGCACUGAAGGCUGAUGUGGUAUUAUACGCCGGCAGCCUGCUUCUUAGAUGUUGCGCCAAGUUCUGUGGAGAUGCGCAUUCCCUAACAACCCUAGAUCCAAAGGAAAGUCCUUCAGCGCCAGAGACCCUGUGGCCAAGCUGAACAUCCCCAGGUGUUAGAUGUGGGUUUGAGUUUUGUGUUUCUCUUGAUUGUGUGACUGUGAUCAAGUUAUGUAUUUGAAUUCUUUAACUCCCCAUUUUCCUCCCUGUGACAUUAAUUGUGUGAAUUAAAUGAGAUCAUGCAAGCAAAGCACAGAUUUUGUUUCCUGAUGCGAUUACUAUUGUUGUUGUGGCUAUAAUGAGAUCAGAUUCUUACAUUCAUAGAAAGAAAUUUACCUCUGGUUAAAACCGUAAAUUGCAGCAUGGAUUCCAGAAGAAAGGGCAAAAUGAAAACAAAUCUUGAUUUUUAUAUCUUAGGACAUGAAUAUAUUUGCUUUUAAAACAGUUUUUGAAAUGUAUUUUUUAGGACAUUAAAGAGGAUUAUACAUAUUUAUUUAUAAAAUAAUUUUCAUCAUGAGUCCAUUUUGUGACCAAGGAUCUAUCUUCUUCAUCUUGCUUCUCAUAGAAUUGGUCAAUUUUUAUUGUUUUUAUGCACCAAACUAUUAAUUCCACAUUUUUUUGCUAUCUGAGGGGGAGCAGGAUUAAUUAUUCUAAUUUUGCCCAUAAAAAAACCUAUUUGCAGAUUAAACAAUGCAAUUGAAAUUAUGUACCAGGUUAUAUAUAUUUUUAUUGGAUUCUAUUUUUGGUACUGAGGAUUUAAGCCAGGAAUGCUUCACCACUGAGCUAAAUCCCCAGCCCUUUUUAUUUUUUAGUUUGAGAUAGGAUCUUGCUAAGUUCUCAGGGCCCCACUAAAUUGCUGAGGAUGGCCUCCAACUUGCAGUACUCUUGUCUCAGCCUCCAGAGACACUGGGAUUAUAGGCAUGUGCUAUAUAUAUAUUAACAGGCUUAAGCUGCCUUUUGUCCUUGGUCUUACAGGCCUCAUUCCUUCCAUGUUGCUGCUAUGAAAAAAAUUCAGCAGUUUGUACCCUGAAGAGUGUAUGUGAUAUGCAUUUAGCUGCUCUUGUGCUAACUGACCAGAGACAGAAUUGACUUCUACUACAUUAUCAAAUCAUUUUUACAAAAUAGCUACAUUGAACUUUCUCAUUUAUUAAUGCUAUAGCUAGGCCCUUCUCAAUGGCAUUAGCAACCUGGCAAAAGGAAAUGUGAAUUUUCAUGUAUUAAAAAUCAAUUGAAAUAACAUUUCAACCUUUAGUUUCAGCAAACCUCUUUGAGAGAAUGAAAUGGAAUCCCGGUGACACCAGUGAUAGUGAUGUCUAUUGCUGCUUUUCUAAUCAAUUAAAUGCACGAUUCUUUAGCCCUGCCAAGUGUCUAUUUGCUGUGCAGCUGUCCCCUUCCUCUGACCUUUCCUCUCUUUGGUGCACCUCAGAUCUUUUGCACCUGCUUCUUGCAUGGCUUAGUUCCGCUUCUCACAGAAGAACUGUAUUCCACAUCAAUUUACAUUUAGGUUAUAGAAACAUUUUCAUAUUCAUAGAAGACCAAGGAAUGCUAUAUCUCAAAUAGUACAUCCCCCAGAGGGUGAUUUUGGGCUCCAUGCUACUUGGAUGGGAAAAGCCACACUUUGAAUUAUAGCCACUUUCUGUCUAGGCCUGUCUCUGCUCUAACCUGCUUUCUGGGUAGAUGUGAUGCUGUAGAAAUGCUACUUUGGCCACAUCUCACAAUCUAAUGGGAAAAUCCCCCGUAAACUAGUAGCUAACCAGUGGUUAGCAACUUAUGGUUAGCUGUUAGCUUACAGAGAGGACUGAAGAGCAAAGUCAGGCAGAGGAGGGAGUGAAGAAAUCUGCCUGUGUAGAGCUGGACAAGGCUUGAUGGACACAAGAGGUUAAAGGCCACGCUCAUGCAGAGCAGUGGGAAGCACAAUCAUAGUGGCAAACUUAGGGACUAUCAAAGUCUGAUGUGAUGACUGAAACUAGACUCUGGAGGGUUUUCAAGAGUUUGGACUUAGACUUUAGGCAAUGGGGUCCUGCAAGAUCCUCCUCUGUGUUCCCAUGGCCACCUGUCCUCCUCAUGGGAGCUAUGCAUGACUCUAGCAUGGUGGAGAAAGCAUAGUAUUUAAAGUCAGAAAAGUGUGUUCAAAACCUCUUAAAAAAACUGUAUGAUCUUGGGUAAGUAACUGAAACUCAGAGCUAGAGAUUUACGUUCUCUUGCUUGAAAUGCUUUGACACCAUUCAUACUGGAGUUGAAGCUGGUAUGGUCCACUUAAUAGAUUUUGACAGGUGUUUCAUGUUUAAAGAAAAGGAGGAUAGUAAAAAAAAAAUCCUAUGCCCUGAAUGUCCCCUUUCUGUUCCUAAAAGCCUAGCUAAGUUAAGGGAACAAUGAAAGCAAGCCUGGGCUGAAAAUUCUAGAUACGUAUUAUCUUGAAGGAUGCUGGCCUUCUUUUUGUGCAUCCUGGUGAUAGGGGACAGACAGACAUGAGUGGUGGAAACAUGAGGUUAAGGGAAUAAGUCUAUGAAAUGGGCCCACUGUACUGACUCCCACAUGCUUUCUUUUCCAAGAAGCAAUUUAUCUACAGCCCUGCCUAGCUUAAUUGAACAAGAUACGUUACAUUCCUCAGCAAACUACCUGUUAUCUGCAAGAGAAAUGCAGACCUGAAAUGCCAAAAUGCUGAUGAUGAGAGAACACAAGUUAUUUUGAAGGGGAGGACACUUGUGACCCUUUCACAGACAAGAUCUCAGAACUCAGGGAUAUAAGGACAAUUCCCCCUAAUCAUAAAAUCUGCAAGAACAGGUUCCAAUUAGAACCAGUCAGCAUGGACCAAAGUGAUCUAGAGUGAUCAUGGCAGUUGGGACUUGAAAGUCUGAUGUCAUCCUGCUGUCAAUCAAAAGUCAGGAGGUGGACCUGUGAGGAACUCUCUGGAAGCUUCCCUGGAACCCCAAUAAAAUUGGAGGGCAGAAGAGGCAUGCUGUCCCUUUCCUCUCUGAGAGGACUCAUUUUCUCCCUUGAGAGUGUCCCCCUUUUUCCUUUUCUAUCCCUUCUCAUAAACUCAUGCCUGAUACUCUGAGUGACAUAUCUGAAACCUUUCUGACUUGAUUCCCAGAAUCAAGGUUUAAAAGGGACCUUUGCACUGCUUUAGUUUCCUGGAAGUUACCAUCCCUGAAUCUCUGGGAACUAGUGAAAGUUAGUGUUAUCUGCAGAUAGCUACUUUCUUGCAUGUUCACUGGGACAGUUGCUCUUGAGAUGUUGUUCAUAUAAGCAAACUAGGAAAGCUAAUACUGAUGAUGCUUCUGCAGACUGACACAUAAAAACUCUGAGUGGGACUUGGUGUGGAGCUCUGGGCGCUGUGGAAUAUGAUACAUGUCAUUCAUCUAGCCAGCUGCCACUAGACAAAACUCCAUGAGGGAGAGGAUGCAGUGCUUGGCCAAGCACCAAUGAUUAGUCCAAUGAAUGGACUGACUGGAUGGUAACUGUAGGAAGAUGGGGUGUGGCUGGAGGAGAUAGGUCAUGGGGGAUGUGCCCUGGAAGGGUGCAUCUUCCCGAUGGCCCCCUUCACUCCUCUCUCCCUCCCUCUCUCACUCUGCUUCCUGACUCCACCAUGAGCAGAGCAGCUCUCCUCAGCUGGGCCCUUCCUCAUGAUAGGCUACCUCACCUUGGGCCCAGAGCAAUGGAGUCUGCUGCCAUUUAUGGCCUGAGACCUGUGAAAUAAGGAGUCUUAAAUAAACUUUCCCUCUUGUAAGUUAUGCUUGUAGGGUAUUUUGGUCACAGUGAUGCAAAAACUGACUAAAACAAUGUGACAAAUUAUAGCAACCCAAACCCUAUCCCUUUUGUUAAGCAGUCGUUUACAACCUCAGUGCUUUGCAGCCACACCUGGGCUUCCAAAAUGUGUUCUUUAUGGUUUUAUUAUGUGUGAAUGCUAACACACAAUAAAGUUGGGGGAGGGAAGAAUAGAAGUUCAGUGGAAUAGACAAAAAGGAAUGAAGGGAAGGGAGGAAGGAUGGGAAUAGGAAAGACAGUAGCAUGAAUUGGACAUAACUUUCCUGUGUUCAUAUAUGGAAACAUGACCAGGGUAACUCCACAUCAUGUACAACCACAAGAAUGGGAUCCUAAUUAGAAGAAAUUAUAAUCCAUGUCUGUAUAAUAUGUCAAAAUGCACUCUACUGUCAUGUGUAGCUAAAGGGAAUAAAUGAAAAAACAUAGUCACUGUGUUAUAUUGGUACCAAUUGCAUGAAUAUUGUAUUUUAAAAUUUUCUUCUGCUUGGAGGUAACAAAAACCGUGGUGGGUAUAGUUAGGAAAAAGAGACACUAUUUUAAGUCUAUUAGGGUGGAGAGAGAAGGGAAUUGGAAAUGUACCCAAGCUCAGACAGAGGCUUAAAAUAAGUAAUAAAAAGUCAUCAGAAAUCCUGCUCUCUUUUUUUCCCUGACAGAUUCAUUCUUCUUAUUCUGCAGCUCAGCUUCUUGGCUUCCCUAUUCCUAUGGAGACACACAAUAACUCAAAAUUUACAUGAGUUUCAGUUCCAUCCAUUGACAGAGACUAACUGGGUGUCUCUGAAUCUCAGGCUCAAUAUCUCUGGUGAAAGCACGUCUGGUGGGUCCAUCUUAUUUCAGAUGUUUGCCCCUGUCCCGUCUACUUUGUCCAGGGGCACAGGGUCAUACCACCACUACUGGUCCCCACAGGCCCACUUGGUGAAUGGGAAAUAGCUCUUAGGACAGGGAGAAUUCAUAUGAAGGCUGGACCUAUAACACAGAGGAUUUCCAGGGUAUAGAUUUUGUGCUCCUUCAAGGCUAGAGACCAUGUUUCAUUGAUAUUUUGGUGCUUAGCAUUUUUCACAGACCUAAUAAGCCUUGAUAUAUUUUUGUUGAAUAAGUAAACUGUUUCUGGCUAAAGACAAAAUUCCUUCUAACAAUAAUUUCUGUUUUCAGUAAAAUUUCUUUUUUAUAAGGUACUUUCACAAUCAACUCAUUCUUUCAUCCCAAUGAUUUUGUGAGUGGCUAUAUGAAAAUAGAUUAUAAAAUAUAAAAAUAUGAUCUAUUAUAUUAUAAAUAUAAUAUAAUAUUAUAUUAUAAAAAUAUAAUCUAUUUUUGAGAGGAGUAAACUGAAACUCAGAUUGUGAAACAAGUGACAAUGUGGAAGAGACUAGAGAGGAGCCAAACUGGGGUUUGGAGAGCCAGUUACAAGUCUCCUGGAAAGUGUAGGUGACAGAUGUGUGGACCUGGCUCAGAGCAGUCCUAGAGGGAGUGGAAAGUGAAGUAAUGAUUCUAGACACAUUGCUAAAUUCAUAGAAGUUGGUGUGACCAAUCUGUUGUAAAGAGAAAGAUUAGUAUAUUUCUUCCAUCAAAACAAUUUAUGUACAUUAAACAAUAGUACAUUAAUAUGGAGAUAAUAUUUAUUUAGCCAAGGAACAAUAUCAUGGGGUGGGUGUGUGGAAUGUCAGCUGUUUUGUCACAUCUAAAUAACAUGUCAGAGAUUGACAGCACUGAGAUGGAGAAUCAAUGAAGCAGGUAUUAAGGCUUCUCACAGAUCACAAAGGAACGUUUUGUUUAUAUUAGUUGGCUUUUUGUUGCUGUGACCAAACUACUAGACAAGAACAACUUAGAGGAGGAAAGUCUUAUUUUGGCUCACAGUUUCAGAGAUCCCAGGCAUGGUUGGUUGACUUGACUCCACUGCAGAAACAUCAUGGUGGAAGGACAUGGGAAAGCUGCUCAGUCCAUGGCAGCUAGGAAACGAGGUGGGGUUGGGGUCGGCAGGGGAACGAUAAACCCUUCCAGGACAUGUUCCCAGUGACCUACUUCAUACCGUUAGAUACCACUAUCAUCACGGUCCAAUCAGUGUCUAAAAGCUUCACCUCAGCCCUUUGUUACAUUGGACACCAUGCUUUCAAUACAUGAGCUUUUGAAGGGACAUUCUAGAUCCAAACCAUAACAAGGUUGAUCAAGGUUGUUAUGGUUUGGAUGCGAGGUGUCCCCCAAAAGCUCACAUGUGAGACAAUGCAAAAAAGGUUUAGAGGAGAAAUGAAUGGGAUGUAGCCUUAGCCUAAUCAGUGAGUUAAUCCUUGAUGGGAGUAACCGAAUUGGUAGGUAUGGCUGGAGGAGGUGGGAAUUGGGAUGUGGCUUUGGAAAUAUAUUUGUAUCUGGAGAGGGGAGUCUCUCUCUAGCUUCCUGAUCAUGUGAGGUGAGCUGCUUCCCUCUGCCACCUUCUCCCGUCAUGAUGGUCGGCCUCACCUUGAGCCCCGAGGAAUGGAGCCCAGCCUUCUAUGGACUAAGAUCUCUAAAACCAUGAACCCUCAAAUAAACUCCUCCUCAUCUAUAAUUGUGCUGGAUGGGUUCUUUAGUCCUAGCAGCAAAAGAGCUAACUAAAACAUAGGCAAAAUGGCCAAACAACAAAUUUUAAAAUAAAAGGACAGCCAGCCUGGUAGUGCACACCUGUAAUCCCAUCUACUCUGGAGGUUAAGGCAGGAGAAUUGCAAGUUCUGGACUGGCCUGGGCAACUGAGUGAGACCCUGUCUCAAAAGUAAAUAAUGCAUAGAUAGACAGACAGACUGAGGGUGCAGCUCAGUGGUAGUGUUUGCCUAGUAUGACCGUGGCCCUGGGUUCAAUACCCAGUACUGGGGGGCAGGGAGGAGGAAAAGGAUGAAUGGCAACUGAUGAUAGGAUCAGGUCAGGAUCUGACUGUGGGUCAGCAAAAGAAUAUGAAAGUUUUGGCUCAAAUUCUUGAGUAACAUUAAAGCUAUGAGUCAUCCUGUAAGAGCCACUAAUUCAGAUUUUUUUUUCCUGUGGGUUUUCCAAUUAACUAGCAUUUUAACUGUCUUAUUUAUAUAGUUUCACUAAGAUUAGGAAAAUUUUGCAGUUUCUAACUCUGGUUUAGAAUCCUCAGUGUGCAUGCAUGGUUGUAUUUUUAGGAAAAAUGACAAUACUGAUACAUAUUGAAGUUUUCAUAAGCUCAAUUCCUGGCCUAACUACUUACACAUCUUAUUUCCUUUAAUAUUCUCAACACAUCUAUGAGACUAGUGCUCUUGCUGUUCCCACUGUAUAGACUAAAAAAUUGAGGCACAAAAAGGUCAAGUGACUCAAUUAAUGCACAUAGCUAACAACUGGCACGGCUAUGAUUCAAGCCUAAAUUUUCUGAGAGCAGAACUCAAACUUUACAAUGCCAUAUCAUGUUAAGCAGUGUUACAAACACUAUUUAAUAAGUCUCGUUAGUUCCAGUGUGAUCAAAGUUGAACUAGCUAGAGAAGCGUCUGUGUGUAUCUCAAUGUUUUUUUUAAUCCGAUAAGUAUUGUAGAAAAUAUGACAGUGUCUAAGAUUAUGGAAAUAUUAAAUUCUAUAAAAAGAAGACUAAAUAUUAUAAUCAAAUACUAAAAAUAUUGUGGCUUUUAGCUGGGCAUGGUGGCACAUGCUUGUAAUUCCAGUGACUCAGGAGGCUGAGGUAGGAGGAUUGAAAGUUCAAAGCCAGCCUCAGCAAUUUAUCAAGGCCCUAAGCCACUCAGUGAGAUCCUGUCUCUAAAUUAAAAAUAAAUAAGGACUGGGAUGUGGCUCAGUGGUUAAGCACCCCUAAGUUCAAGCCAUGGUACCAAAUAAAUAAAUAAAUACAUUUUGAUUUUUAUUUGAAAGUAGAUUGAUAACCUCCUCUUUCUAGUCAGGUGAACUCCAGAUAGAUGGAUUUAGUUUUUACUCAUGAAAAAAUGGGCAUAAUUUGGACCAUGCGUUAAUGUAAAAGAAAGGAUUUAAACAGAGGUAGCUAUCUAGAUAGCUGCAACUAAUAGAGUAAUGCACUUUUAAAAAUUUUAUUUUUCAUUUUUAUUUUGAGACAAAUAUCCAUAGUUUCUUAGGGCCUUGCUAAGUUGCUGAGGUGGGCUUUGAACUUAGGAUCCUCCUGCCUUAGCUUCCUGAGCCCCUAGAGGUGUGUGCUUUAACCCCGACCCCUGACCCCGGACCCCCGCAUGUGCUUCUGUUUCAUUUUGUUUUCUUCAGAGGUGAUGAGAAAAAUGGAACUCUCUGGGAAUUUGUUGAACUGUUUCAUUUCAUUUAUAGAACACCGACUAAAGUAAUAAAAUAAAUAAUAAAGCACAUCUUGAUUUUUAGACAUAUUUUUGGAACAGAAGAUAUUUUUAAGAGCACGGGCAUCUAUGUGUUUUACAUUUCAAAAAUAAUUUAAAAUCAAGCUGUUACAUCCUAAAAGUAGGAAAGCAUUGUACUGAAAGGCAAGUAUUAAUAUAUUUGUCAGUGGACGACUUACUGCUUCUGAAGAAGAGGAAAAGAAAAGGUUAAAUGGCCAUCUCCCAAGGACAAUUAAACAAAGGCGGCUGAAAUUCAGUCUUCAAGAGCUCCAUGAGCCCAGAUUGUAAAGGUUAAAAUUAAAUGCAAAUACUUAAAAGGUAUUUUGAUCAUUUUUCUCCAGGAAAUAGAUAAUAAAUAUAAAGUAGAAGACAUACAAACAAUGAUAAAAUAAUGAUUUGCUUGUCCUGAUCACUUGUUUGCUUUUAGUAAUUUUUAAAAGAUUUAUGAGUCUGUGUCUUUGUACUUCAGCGACAAGUAGAUUCAUUAUAAUCAUUAGUUUCCUGUGGUGUUGUUAUAUCAGGUACAUUUUCAUCAGGACUGCUGGUGAAAUUAUCAACCAUAAUAUUAAGAUUAGAAUAAACAAGAGAUUCUUUCCUUAUACAAUCAAUUCAAAUUUUCAUUUCAUUAAAGUGUAUGAUGGCAGUGCCACUAAAUUGCUGUUUAGACUAUUACCGGUUGGUGUUAAUAGUCUUAAUUUAUCAACAUUUAUUUUAACCUUUGCUAUAAAGCCUUGCAAAUAAAGCUGAUCGUUAUUAAUUUUUAGGUAAAAACAAAACUAAUAUUUUAUGCCUAAGUUUUAAAAACCAUUGUCUGUUCUUAGCAGAAGAUAAAGUUCUUGAAAUGCUUUUUUUUGUGUGUGUUCCUUCUUUCCAAGUCCAAUGUGUUUCUUACAUAUAUGUAUACAACUCUUAAACAAAAACUCUGAUGAAGCAUUGUGCUAUGUAACAUUGUGUAAUUUUGGAAGGAGCCUCGGCUUUGUUUGUAGAAGAGCUGGAUUUGAAUAUUGGCUCUGUCCAUUGCAAGUCAACUUUGGUCACUUAACUUCUCUUAGCCUAGCCUCCCUUUUCUUAUUUCUACAAUGGGGUACUUGUGCCUGUGUUGUUCCAUAAGAAAUGGCAACACUUGCUAUGAAGUUUGUAAUUUAAAUAUGGAGACCAAUGGAAACAUGUACUACAAAGAUUUUUAUUUUCCAUAUGGUUUUGAGGUUAAGCAGAUAUGUUAUUUUCUCGAAAUGAAAACAAAGCAGUGCAAAAUAGGCCCUGAAUUUUUGCAGAAUUAGCGUGCCACUGUCACUGUGCCAUUCUGCAGCAUUUAGUCAGAAAGACCACAACUGAAAUCUUAAGUUUGAAUCGCUCUGCAUUGCUUGAUAUUUAAUGACAUAAUUUUAAUGAUGAACCAUCCAUUUUAGCUGACACUCAGCUAUGACAAAUCAAAGUUGACUUGUCCCACAACAUGUUCUUCAGCCUAUUGUUAGGACAGACUUGACUACCUCAACACACUAUCAGAUAGAUAUUUUAUGGAGAAAUAAAUGAAUACAUAAGGGUGUGGGUGGUGGAGUCUUAAUGUAGGUACUUGAUCCAUCUGGUGAAAUAUUUCAUCCAAACCUUCUUUGGAAGCCAUUAUACUUCAUGGGGAGAGGGGCUUUCUAGCCAAAAUGAUUAAUUAGUGUCCUGUGAAGCCUAAAGCUGUUUUACUGUUUCUCUGGGCUUCCUCCCACAAGUUUACCCAUGUCUUCUGAUUGGUCAGUGGUUACAGUGAGUCUUACUUUAUGAUAGUUAGGUAACCAUGCUCAUGAUGUAUGUAUAACAGAUAAAAUCCCUAAAUGCCUUCAGAAGAAGGCCCUUUCUGCAGCAGGAUCCUGGCUCUCUGUGCCUUUUUUGGGACAGGGUACGAUUUUAAAGCAGAUCCUACAACCUGCUACUGGAAUAAGUGUGUAAGUCAGGAAAUCAGUCAUAAUAGUAGAGGAAAAAGAUUAUAUUAAUUUCUAAUCAGAUUUCUUCCCCUUCAGAAUGAUUUUACAUAUAAAUAAUGUCGAAGACAUGAAAGAGGUAUUUGAAGGCAUGCAUGCAUUCAUUAAAAAAGUUACUGAGAGCCUGAUCCAUGCCAGAUCUCAGGCUGGGGACCCUGUGAAUGACAUCGAUUUUGUUCUCAAAGCUGAUGAAAUGUAUGUAUGUAUACGAGGCAUAGAGUUUUAAAUACCAUGAGAGAGAAGCAGAUGAAGUUCUCAUCUAAGCACCUCGUGAGAUAGCCAAUAAAAUUUAUUUCCUUUCCCUUUCUUUUACUUGUGGGAAGGAUUGCUUUGUGUGUUUAUAAUGUGUGUGUGUGUGUGUGCGCGCGCGUGCAUGUAAAGGAGUGCAUAGAAAAAAAGUGGUCUUCUGGGAUAUUAGACAAUGACUGGGAAAAUAUUUUCCAGGGAAAGAAAAUAGUGUACGUUAUCAAAUAAAGGCAGGGAUUGCAUGAAGGACAAGACAAUUCCGUAGUUUCCAAAGCGUGAGAUUUGUGAUGGGACCUGUGAGGAAUGAGGUUAGAGGGAAUGAUAAGGACUGUGGUGGUGGUUGAGUGUUCUCUGGAUGUCUUACAGUAGUGUCAAUUCUGUCCAUAUUUAAAAGCUUACAUGUCUGAAAAUAAGUAAGCCUCUAUAUGAAUUAAAUGAGAAUUUAUGAACUGAAAAAAUACUAGUUUCCAAUUUUUGUUUGCCAGAAACUCAGUGUACCGUAGGACUGGUGAAAACCCAUACAGCAUUUAACAGGCUGAAUGCCAACAGUACUGGGCAAAACACUUCUGUGACUUGGCUGUUGCUCCAGAGUAUCAGUCAGGAUGUCAGGUUGCAAUAACAAACUCUAAAUCUCUGUAGCUCAAUCUAUGAUCAGUUCUUUCUCACCUAAGUGGAGCAACCUAUUGGUGUUGGUCUGACAUGCCAGGCUGCCAUGCUAUUAUGACUCUUCCAUGGUUAAAUGUUCUCCUGUGAUUUGUAUGGCAAGGAAAAUGUAGGCUGGACAGCAUGACACCCAGAGUUAAAUGCUUCCAUGUGGGCACAUAUCAGAUGUCACUUCCACUUACAUUUGAUUGGCCAAAGCAAGACAUUUGUAGUAACAUCUUUCUUUCAUGUUGUUUAUUUCUGAGAGGUAGAGAUUUUGUUUUGUGUAUGUUUCCCCCAAUCCUUUACAAAUGUUAGGCAUUUGAUAAACCCUUUAAUUUUUUAUUUUUCUUUUAACUACUUUAUUAUAUAAUACUGCACGAUCAAGGUAAUCAUUAAAACAAUGCAAAGUCUAAUAAAAUGGAACAUGAACGUACCCCUUCUUAAAAUGUUUCAAGAAUAAAUGAAUAGGAGAUCAGUUUCAAACUCUUUAGAAGAACAUUCAAGAUUUUUAUUAUCCGGUCUCAGUUUAUCUUUUCUUUCCAUAUUUAAGCAUAUUCCCGUACAGAUUAUUUUCUUCUAAAUAUAUUGUCCAAGCUUGUAUUCUCUCACAUCUACUGGGCCCUUUGCUUGCUAUUUUCUUUGCUUGAAAUUUUCAUUCACUUUUUCUCUAUUGGUCAGACUUACUUAGAUUUUUAGAUUAUUAGAUUUUUCUUGACAGUCCUAAUGCCCUCUAUGUUCCUGGAACACCUUGCACACACUUGUGUAACGUGUCUUCACUCUCAACCUCUGUGCUCCUCAAAGCAGCUAGCAUCUUAUUCACUGUAGAUAGCCAGUACCCUUCCCAGGGUGCAGAGGAAGCAUUCCAUCAACUGACCCACCACUCUCCUUGAUAUUACUAUAUUAUUUUACUUUUUCCCCUUAACUUAUGCACACACUCAGUGCUUUCCCAUUCUGCAAGAAGUGCCCACCUGCCCUCAUCAGUUGUAACCCUCUUCUCUACUUUGACCCAAAUGCCUUGAAAGAAGUGUCCACAAAAGCUGUCCCUUUCACUUCUCAUUCAACUUUGACACACUGCUCCUUGUUUUACACUUAUCCAACUUCACAGAAAUGACCUAGAAAAUCUAGCAAAUGAUCUAAAUGCCAAAUCCAAUUAGAACGUUUCAGUUCUCAUUUUCAAUGAUCCCUCUGAUGUAUUUUUAAAAAUCGAAUUAAAAUAAUCGAAUUAAAGUAAUAUUUGCACAUGGUAAUAUAGUUAUAUACCCCAUUCCUCUCCUCUCCAACCCUGUUCUUUCAUCAAUUUUUGAGAUUCAAUGUAAUUUCCUUUAACUUUUUAACACUCAGUACUUAUUAAAUGCUGAUUGAGGAUGGUCCAACCUGAGGAAAACCUUACUGAUAAGUUAUAGGACAAGAAGAAAUAACAUCCACACAUAAUGUGUUGGAUUUGCAGAAAAAAAUCUAAACAAAUAAACAAAAACCUAGUCUAUGAAGAAGAAGAAAAGAUGAACAAAUAUGAAUUGUUGGUUGGCUUGCCUAAUAUUUAGAGGACUUAACCGAGUUAAAUAAUUGCUUAUUAGGUUAAGCAGACUUGAUUUCAAACAAUUCUUUUGGAGUGUGGAGUUUUGUGGUGAGAAAAGGGGAUAUUUAUGGUAUAGAGAAUGGAUUAUUUGCACAGUAGCCAGGAAUCUUCUAGACAGCAUGCACAGCAGAGCCAAAGGCAUUUGCCCUUCAAAUACUCAGGGGAACCAUAAUUCUUCCAGGUACCAUAACAUGGUUGUGUGAAUUUACCACUGGUACUACCGAUAAUGGCAUUCGUGAAGGAAUUGAAGUUGAUAAGCAACACACAAUGGAGACAAAGAAAAAUCUACACUUUAAAAAAUGAAUUUAGAGCAGCUAAAGACAGAAAGACAGAACUGUCAUACUGUUGUGACAGACUAAAGUGGACCUCAGUAGGACUGUGGAGCAUGGUGAUAAAAAAAAAAAAAAAAAGGUCAGUUAAACAAGAAACAAGAGGAUUCAAACUGACAUUUCCAAACACCUCCUGGAAAUCAGUAGAACUUUCUAGAGUUACCUCCCAUUGCUGCUGUGCACCAUUGCUUUAGUCUAAAUGGUCACGUUUGUAGCUUUACUACUGAUGUGAAGUUCUGGAAAUUGUGGAUACCUCUUUCUGCUAAAUUUCCUACCCCAUCAGUGUUUUCAUAUCUUUAGAAACUUGGAGAGAAUGUAAAAGUAAUCCUGGUUUCAUGCCUUUGUCAUUUAUACGUGUGAUAUUUUGUCUUUGUUUGCUAACUCUUCCUGUUGAAUUUCUAGAAUCAGUUACUUAUUCAUUAUUAUCAUUGACAUUUCCUGUGCUUUCAUUUGUUUCUCUACCACUGACUGUUUCCUCAAUUUCAUUAUUAUCAAACAGCCCUUCUGUGAUAGACUGCUGUUCUCCAUCUUCAUAUUGAUUAAUUUCAUUUUCACAUGCAUCCUUCUGAUUUCCAACAUCUUCAGAACAGUCUUCAGAAGAUGAGUCAUUUGCAAAGACAGAUUUUCAUUAGUGGAGUCAUCCUUAGAGUCAGAAUGUGAUGGUCUGUUCGGUCUGCUCGCAGGAAUAUUGUUUGCUCCUCUGUGUCUUUCAUUAUCUCUUGGAAGGGAUGUGCCUGAUGUACUUGCUUGGUCAUUAUCCAAGUAAUUAAAAUCAAAUGUACUUAUUUUGUAGAUUAAACAAGAACAUUCUUUAUUAUGAUUGUUUGCAAUUGAAGCUUCAGGGACACUUUAGGCUAGAUAUUACAUUAAAUAUUAUUUUCCAUUUAAAUUAAAACAUUUAAUCAGAAAUUCUGAAAAGCAAGAUAUGUAAGCUAAUGCCUCAUAUGUUAAAAUCAUGAAGAUGCAGUUUCACUGUAAUGUUCUUUUGUGAAGUUAAUGUACAACAAAUGAAGAGUUUAAGAGAUUAUCAGCUCUGAUUAUAAAUUCCAGUCACUACCACUGUUACCAUUCCCUGUGUGUGUGUAAAUUUCCAAAGAAGGCAGAAACUGUUUAAUGUUGGGAUCCUUUAAAUUUUUUAAUAAUUUUUCCCCCACAGUAGGGGCAAUUUUUUUGUAAGAAAGAACAUUUGCAUGACUAGUUGAUUGAAAUUCCUAUGUAAAACAUGCAAUCUAAUAGCUGAUUAGUGGGAGGAAAUAAAAGGAAGAAUUGCUUUGUGUACCCCAGACUUAUGAAGGCUACAGUGUGUGUUUACCUUUGAGGAUUAGAUGAUGAGGGAAGUUGAUCAUGGAAUGUCCUUAGGAUAAUAUGAAAAUGUAUUUUAGAAGCAAGCAAAGUUUAGGGUACAGGAAGGGAGAACCUAAGAGAUGUGGCACUCUAUAGAUAGCAUGGAGAAGUGCUUGUCCUUACUUUAGGUGGUUCACAAAAAAAUGUAAGAGCCAGAAGAAGUAAGAUGGUCAAAGUUGUGUACACAGGUCUGGCUCAGAUGUUCUCUUGCUACUGUCUCUGAGGCAUGAACCCCCUUGGUGGGGCCAGUAUGGAGUUUGGCUUUGGUAGGUGAGUCAGGACAACAGGGGACAGAGAGGGAGCAGAAAAGGCAUGUGAUUACACUGGGAUCAGUACAAAAAGUCAUCAGCGUAAAAAGCCAAGGGCACUGACAUAUACCCACCCACUUACAUGGCAAGGGUGAUGCCAAGAACCUUUUAGAUCUGCCAGCUAUGUAAGCAGAGAGGCAGAGCUGUGUCAGAGGAAUUGCUGGAAUGUGUAAUAGUCUCUCCUUAUCUACAAUUUUAUUUUCCAUGGUGUCACUUAUCUGUAGUCUAAAAUUAUUAAAUGGAAAAUCUCAGAAACAUACAGUCUGUAUGUUUUCGAUCGAGCACCAUUUUGAGCAGCAUGAUGAAAUCUCAUGUGGUCCCAUCUAGGACAGGAAUCAUCUCUUUGUCCAGGAUAUCCAUGCUGUAUAGACUUCCUUCCUGUUAGUCAUUUAGUAGGAAAAAAAACAUAGUAUAUGUAGGACUUGCUGCUGUGAGGAGGGAAAUUUCAUCUAGUAUUUGAAAAAGUGUUGGGGAGUUACUGUAGGUAUGUGAAAAAUUAGCUCAUGACUGGUUUGUCAAAUCAGGUGUGUUAGUUUGGGCUACUAUAUCAAGAAUAUUGUGGGGCUGGGCAUGGUGGUAUAUACCUGUAAUCCUAGUAAUUUGGGAGGUUGAGGCAGGGGGAUCACAAGUUUGAGGCCAGCCCAGGCAACUUAGUGAGGCACUAAGCAACUUAGUGAGACUUUGUCUCAAAAAGGACUGGGGAUGUUGCUCAGCAGUAGAGCACCCCUGGGUUCAAUCCCUAGUACUGGGGGCAGGUGGAGGUGGAAAGAAUACUAUAGACUGGUGGCUCUAGCAACUCACCUUUACUUCUUACAGUUCUAGAGGUUGGAACAGAAACAAAGGUGCCAACAGAAUUUGGUUCAGGUGAGGGGCCUCUUCCUGGCUCACAGACAAUUGGACAACUGUCUCCUUGCUGGGAUCUCUCAAGAAGGGAUGGAGAAUAUGAGACAAGGUCUCUUCCGUUUCUUCAUAUAAGGGCACUAAUUCCAUUUUAAGGGCUUUACCUGUAGGAUCUAAUGACCUCCAAAGGCUCCACCUCCAAAUACCAUCACACUAGGGAUUAGGGUUUUAUCAUAUAAAUUUGGGAGGACACAUUCAGUCCUCAACACCAGAUAAUAUCCAUCCUGAUUGGUGGUUUGGGAACAAAAGAGUUUUUGUAGCCAAAGGGGGAAAUAAAUGUGGUCUUUUUUCCAUCCUGGGUCAGUGGACCCUAUUUUUAGAGCUUGACUUGGGUGAAUUGCCUCUGAAGGAUUGGUCCUGGGCCUCAUAUCACUGCAGGGUGGGUGGAGGGCUCAUGGCACUACAAAGGUCUGGUGGUAAUUCAAGUAACAAGAAAUGUGUAACAACCUCACACUAAUGGGACUUUGGGGUUGUGUUUGGUAUUUAUGUUCAUUUUUUUUUUUUAAAUUUACAUCUAUUUUUGGGGUACUUUAGAAUUUCUUUCUUUUUUGAUUAUUUUACUUUUCCCAUUAAUUUCUUCUUGUAGUAUUUAGUAGGCUUAUACUAAGUCUGUGAGUGUGUGUGCAUGUGUACAUGUGUUAUAAUGUAUACUUUAAAAUAAAUUGUUAGGAAAAUGUGAUUUUUUUUUUUUAAGAACUGUUUUAGUCAGCCCCCUCCCCCCUCCCCACACUGCUGUGACUAAAAGACCCAACCAGAACAACUGUAGAGGAGGAAAAGUUUACUUAAGGACUCACGGUUUUAGAGGUCACAAUCUAUAGACAGCCAGCUCUAUUCCUCAGGGUUUGAGGUGAGGCAGGAACAACACGGCAGAAGAGUGUGGCACAGGGAAGUAGCUCACAUGGUGAUCAGGAAGCAGAGAGAGCCUCCCCUGGCCAGAAACAAAAUAUAUAUAUACCCCAUAGCCAUGCCCCCAGUGAACCUUCCUCCAGCCACUCUCCACCUGCCUCCAGUUACCACUUAGUUAACCCCACCAGGGAUUAAUCCACUGAUUAGGUUAAGGCUAUAACCCAAUCAUUUCUCCUCCAAACUUCUUGCAUUGUCUCACACAUGAGCUUCUGAGGGACACCACAUCUAAACCAUAAUAAGAACUAAGAACAAAUUCUAGGGUUUUAUAUUUAGAUUUCAAGGAAACCUCUUUCAACUAUAAUUCUACAGUGAAUAAUUAAUUUUAUGUACGCUACAUCAUUCAAAACAUUUAUGAGUUUAUUUAGUCAUUUCCUCUAAUAAAAGACAAAAAUGAAGCAAAUAUUUUUCACUGUUACUUUUAUCAAGCAUGAUAUUCUUGAUAUAGGUAUUCUUUCCCUUCUCCAAAUGAGGUGAUUUUAUUGAAAAAUAUUUUACAAGUAACUGUUAUAAGGAAGUGUGUUACUUUAGUGUAAUCCCAUUGUUCAUGAGAAAAAUGAAGUUGACAAAACAAAAGAGAGUAUCUGAAAUCAACUGAAAUAGGUGGAGAAAGUAUAGAAAUAUCUCAAAGAAAACCUUCUUCAUAGCCUAGACAUCUGUUAAAACACACACACACACACACACACACACACACACAACAAAACCAGUAGCUGAUUUGUUUCAGAUUUUAAUAAUUUAGGGAAACAGAAAGAAAAAUGCAAAGAACAUUGCAAAAUGAAAAUCUGUCACUGCUACAAAUAUUAUUUCCUUCCCUUAUUCCCAUUUUACGUUUACGAUCAAAUUUAGAAUAUAUAUGUUGGUGAAAACCACCUUAGAAAUCACACAGAACCGAUAGUAAAGCAGUUGUUUAAUAACCCAUCCCUCCUCACCAUCUAUUUAAGGCUGUGUUCUUUGUUUCAAGGUCCUGUUGAAAUAAAACAGAAUGAAAUUAGUGACCUUCAUACCGACUUCCUAACCAGUUUCUGGCAACCGACCCAGCCAUCAGUCUGUCAAUAGCCUGUGCAGUUUCAGAUUUCAUUCGCAAAUAAAUAAAUAAAUAAAUAAAUAAAAAAUGAAAAAAUAUCCAGUUCCUUUCUAUAAACAUCAUAUUUCAGUUGUUUCUUUUAAAAAAGCUAAUUACAUUUACACAUGUUACUUACAAAUAAAGACGGAUUUUGUUGGUAAGCUUUUUGCAGAAGUGGAGCUUGAUUGGAAAUGUUUUAUUUGAGGCAUAUGGAGAAAGCUGCAAUAGUGAAGCAAAAUAUUUAUAAUUCUUCCCUGUUUGGUUUAGAUUUGUCAAUCUUUCCCCUUCUUUACACAAAACAACGUCUUGCAUACAAACUGUUUGAAAGUUGAAAUAGUAGCAUUCCAAAUGUAGUCAGAGAAAGGAAAAUACCGUCAAAUCUAGAAAGAAAAAUGUAAGCACAGGAGAAAAAAGCUUUCAGAGAAGAUUAGUUAAGUAGGGGAAGGGCUUUAACCUUUUAAAAGAAGAUGAAUUGCUAGCUUUAAUAUGAGAAUCAGGACAGAGAAGACGUAUGCACACGACUCCAUCUUCACACUUUAAUUUUUGUCCUACAUUUAGUUUGUUUCACAUCUUUAUUUAGUGUUCUUUUUCAUUCUCGAUGUUUUCAUCAGUUCCUACUGUUCUUUGAAAUGCCCACCCUGAUGCUUUGUUUCUUUCUUGUCUUGCAUAUUUACCUGUCUGGCUUUAAGAAUGGAACAUUUUUACAUUUUUGUCCUUUUUAAAGAUAUCCUCAGUCAUUUCUGUAGAGAAGUUGUCAGAAAUUGUUGAAAUUGCAAUCCAAGUCUUCCCUGGACUCAGAAACUAUUCGGUUUCAGCUGUUCCAUCAAAUAAUACUUACUUUUCAGUAGUGCAUUUUCAAUUAGUGAAUUUCUCUGAAUGUGGCACAUUUCUUCCAAGUCAGAUUUCCUGAAAUCACUAACUUUUAAAAUUUCCUUUAAUCCUUUGGGAAUUUGCAUUCAACCCCUGAACAAUUUUAUUAUCUAUUAUUCUAAAGGAUUCCUUACUAUGAUCUUAAAAUUGCUUAACUUCCAGGAUACCUUCCUUGCAUUUGGUCCCAAAUGGCUUCGUAUUGGGAUGGUGCCAUGCCCUUUGAAGAUUUGUCUCAUCCAAGAUUAGAGUUUCAGUCUUAGGACAAGUUUAUCCCCAGAAUUAUUUCUAAUAGUUCAGAUCUGUUUCAUAUAGUACUCGGAGGAAUUCUUGAGUCUUAAUGCUUCAUGUAAAGGAAACACUAUACCUAAGCCUAUCUACUAGGGCAGAAGGGACAGUUCAACAUGUAUUUUUCAAAACCCAGGGACUAUUAUGUCUUUGAGGGAAUUUCUUCUGUAGUUGAUGGAGAAACUCUUUUGAACAGCAGAUUUUUAUUUAUUUAUUUUUCUAGACUUGAGUCAUCUGUUCACUGUGUCCUCCGCCCCCCAAUCUUCUUCUUAAAUGUAGGAAAGGUUUAGGACACUUGAAAUAGGCCAUUGAAGUGAAGAGGCAUUUCAGCAUAUUUUUAAUAUUUUCUCUUAAGGCUGAUGCUUUAAAACUAUUUUUCCACACCCUCUUCUACCUGUUAUUCCCUUGAGUCAAGGAUGAACUCCUUCGUGUAUUUAGGAAACACCUUCCCCAAACAAAUAUAGAAAGAAAGGUAUGGGAAUAAAGAUCUUAUUGAGGAACAGGGUUUCUGGCUUUCGAGUUUGAGAUCAUGGGUCCAGAUCCCAGCUGAAACUUGGCAUAUUUGGGCAACUUGCUGAAUUUUGUUGAGCCUCAGUUUAUUCAUCCACUAAAUGGAAUACUAAUACCCACUGUGGAGAUGAAAUAGCAUUUAAUGUAAGUAAAACUCUCAGUUGACUUCAGUGAAUGGCCACUGAUAAAAUUAAUAAUCUCAUUGUGUUUUAUUUAUAUUCUUAGAUGGCAGCCUUAGGGAUUCAUGUACUAGGAAUGUUCAAGAAAAAGUGUGUCCUGUGUUUGUUACCUCCCAGUCUCCUUUCUUUAUGGAUCAGCAUUAUUGAGCAAGAAUGGAAAGCAGAGUGUUUUCUGUCACCUCUAUUUAGUAUUGGAUGUGGCCUGUCCCAUUUUACUCUACGGUAACUUGGCAUGACUUGACAUCUCUAAAGAUUCAUGGACUACUGUGGAUUUUGUACAGCAGUUUUGAGGGGUUUAGUCCAUUUACCUCCUAAAUACUUCUACCCCCAAGUUAGAAAUAAUACAAAUUUGAAACAAAUUCUAGGGACCACUGUUGGUUAUUGGGUAUCCUGAGAAUUAAAUGACUUCAGUCUCAGGGACUUCCAAAUUCCAAAAUAUAAUAGUGCCCCAUCAGCAGGCAGUGACCAAUCAUUUCAGACUUCACAUCCCAGAUUGGGUUCAGAUGAUUUUCAAGGAAAGAAAGGUUUAAGGUAUAUGUUUACAAAAGGAACUUGACAUGUUUCUAUCAUUUGGAGUGUUUGUUGUGUAUGAGUUGCUCUCCUUUUUUGAAACCAAAAGGUGCACUUUCGGAUUAAUUUGCAGCGUAUUUAAUUGUAAGGGGGAGUUUCUGACUCAUGAGGCUAUAGGAAAUAAUAAGCAGAUAAGAAAGGACUACUGGCAGCAUCUACAUAGACGUCCAUGACACAUUUAUCUGCAUAAAAAUGCUCUCCUUAUUUCUUAGGAGUAGUAAAGACAAAUAGAAAAUGCACCCGAUUACAUGACAAAAGAAAUAAUAGUGCCCCCUGAAGGUCUGAACUGGACCUCUCUGGCCUGAAGGCUGUGACAGGGAUUGCUAAAUGGCAGACAGGAGCUGCACUUCUGCUGUCACAGUUUCAGCAAUUGUCACUGUCAAAAUGUAGCACAUUCAUUAUUCAGGUACAAAACUAUAAUUAAGAACAUUGGCCAAGAAAGGGGGAGGGGAAUUGGACGGUUCAGGGAGUUGGAAGUAGGAUAAAGAGCAGUUCUCCUCUAGGUCACUAGUUCAAACUUGGCCCAUAUUGGUAAUGACUGACAGUCAUUAAUAUAUGAUGGCUGUUUGAUGGCCUAUAUGAGUAGGUGCCCAUAUCAGAAAAGUCACCAUUGUAAUUGGCAUUAAUUGGCACUUCUGUUGGCAGCGUCAGCCGAGAGGCUGAAGAUUGAAUGGGCUAUAGCGAGUGAAUUAUCCUCUCAUCCUGAGAAGUGGGCCUCCCAGGGCCAAGAUGAAGCACUGUCGCAGUGCACCGUGGGAAAGUGGCUGCUGUCCCGGCUCCUGGUGCUCUGCAGAGGACGGCAGUGUGCAGCGCUCUCUGUUUGGCACUUUGCUUGAUGGGCAACUGAAUCUACUUAAAUCCAACAGACCAAAGGGAACAAUGGGACCACUAAAAGCCAGAGGACCCAGAGCGUGAGAUAAUGAGGGGUACCUGAGGGCAUCAUCCUUUCCUGGUCCACUUCUGGCUAACCCAUGAUUGGCCAGAGAGCUUCAGCAGCCUCCUCUGUGAUCUGCAGCAUGGAUGGAUUGUGGCCGAUGUUAACAAAACACCAAGAAAAAUCUGUACUGCUUUUGGAAAUGAAAAAGUCAAGGGCUCUGUUAACGGCCUGCAGUAAAACACUGUUAAACAUGCUACCAUGUUGACUUUUUAGAGUUGAAAAUUAAAGGUCCAUUGUAAUCACUUUUUGCUCUCCAUUGAUUUAAGGACCUAGUCGAAUAAUAAUUUAGACUCCACUUUUCAUCUCUGCGUAGACUCAUGAUUUGUAAGCUGUUUCUGGCAACUAUCUCUGCCAUACCAAUGAACUUUCUUUUUAUUCAUCUCACUUUUUGGCUCAACUCCCUCAUAAUUAGUGUUUAGGUCAAAGUACCAAGUAUUUAAGACUAAAUUUCUGUGGACAUCAACUCCUAAAGGACAUUUCACAGGAGUAGUACUGGUC